GAAGAAAGAUCAAGAAAUUGCAAAUUAGAAAGGUUUCCCAAGGUUGGAGGAAUUGCACCUUUGAAUCCACAAUUUGAUAAGUUUAGAUAUUGUAAAUUUCUCAAAGAUCCGAAGAAUUUAGGAAUUGGGAUAUGCUCAAAUGAGUUGCCACUCAAAUCUAAAGAUCUCAAAGAUUUGAGUUCUAUCAAAGAAGGUCGAAUCUCCCCGCUUAAGUUCAUUGAACUCCAAUUUUCAUAUGCUUCUUCAAGAUAAUAUGGGUUAUGAAGAUCGAUUGAAAUAACAACUCCUGUGUUAUUUUCACAACCAAUUCCCUCCCAUUGACAACAAUUGCCUCCUAUCCAUGAUGAAAGUCGGUUGUUAGAAGAAUCUUUGAGACCAUUUUUGAAGUCAAGAAGAGCUUCUCGAUUAGCUCUUAAGCAAUUUCCCUCAAGGGUUUCACCCUUGCAAGCAAGAUCUCUUGUUAUGAAACAUAGAAUGACCAAAAGGAAACCAAGAAUUGAAAUUUUCUCCAUCUAAGAACACCUAUAAAAACAAGUAAUUAAUAUUAAGUUCCGAUAGAAGAAUCAAAAUAGUGAUGAAAUUUGAUAAGUAAUCAAAACUUCAAGUUAUUGGAUAUUAAAUAACAUAUAUAUUUUAAUCAAUCAUAAUUUUAAUAAGAUUAAAACAUGUCAAGUGGAUGGCAUACUUGAACUUCCAUAUCAAAUAUGGUCUGAUGAUUGUUGUUUAUCAAAACAACAGAAAUCACCCACAAGAGAAGCUUAGAAGCAUUAGGUAGAGGAAAACACUAGAGACAACUUGGCAUUAUUGGUAAAGUAAAACAAGAUUAGUCAUCCAUUCAAGAUCAUUAACAUAUAAAUCAUAAGAUUCAGAAUUAACAAAUAAAUCAAAAGAUUGAUGGCUAGAAAGAUCAAGAAAUUUCAAAUUAGAGAUGUUUCCCAGACCAUGAGGAAUUGCACCAUUGAACCCAUAAUUUGAUAAGUUUAGAUAUCGUAAAUUCUAAAAAAUACAAAGAACUCAGGAAUUGGAAUACGUUAAAAUGAGUUGUCACUCAAAUCUAAAUAUCUCAAGGAUAUGAGUUCUAUCAAUGAAUGACCAAUCUCUCCACACAAGUUCAUAGAGGUCCCAUUCUCAUAUGCUUCCUUUGGAGAAUAUGGCUUAAGAAGAUCGAUUGAAAUAAUAGCUCUUGUUUUAUUUUCAUAAUCAAUUCCUUCCUAUUGACAACAAUCAAGGCCUCUCCAUGAUGAAAGCCAAUUGUUAGAACUUUUGAGACCAUUUUUGAAGCGAGUAAGAGCAUCUCUAUCAGUUUUUAAGCAAUUUCUCAAAUUGGUCUCACCUUUUCAAGCAAGUUCUCUUAUUAUUAAACAUAAAAUGAUCAAAAGGAAACCAAGAAUUAAAAUUUUGUCCAUCUAGGAACACAUGUAGAAACAAGUAAAAUAAAGUUCCAACACAACAAUAAAAAUAGUGACAAAAUUCAAUUAGUGAUGGAAUCAAGGCAUCGGCCAAUUAAUAACAUAUUUAACUUAACCACUCAUUUGUUUAGAAAGAUUAAAAAUUGCUAAGUAAACAACAUACUUGAAUGCAUGUCAAAGUAAAUAUAAUUGAAAUCAUCUCAACAAAUAUCAAAUAUGCUUUGAUGAUUGCUAUUGAUCAAAACAUUCCAACUAUAGAAAUCACCUACAAAAAAAAAAAAAAAAAAAAAAAACCUUGCAGCAUUAGGUAGAGAGAAACACUAUAAAUAACUUGGCAUUAUUAGUGGAGAUCUUACCAAUUAUCUUCCUUUUUUUUUUUCUGGUGUAGUCAUUCCUUUGGAUGUAGAGACAUAUAUAGAAGAUAAUUCAACUAGAUACCAUAUGGAUGAUAGUGAUAGGCUCCUUUCCUUUCUUUUUAGCAAUAUUUUGAAAAAUGGAUCAGACCAACCAAUUGAACCAAUUCAAUUGCUAACCAAUUCACUUUCCAAUUUAGGUGACCUUUUCCAACCAUUUUGGGUUUAAAACGAUGGGAAACCGAUUACCACUACUUGAUUAUGAUCAAAUUGUGCAUAUGAAGUAAAAAGUUGAAUUUGCCAUUAUCUUUCUAAAAUAAAAUUUCCAAGAAAAAAAAAUUUAGGUGAUGUUUAUCUUUUUAACUUAAUAUAAAAUGAAAUUUAAUUUCAAACUUCAACUAUUUGUUUUAAUUUUUUUUAUAUAUUUUUAACUUAUUUAUUAAUAUUUUUAAUUCAAUAGAAAACAACUAAAAUACGUAACUUUUUACGUAAUUUAAAAAGUUAACCAAUUCAUACUUCUAACCCCUCACACCUAACUCACAUUGUGAAAAAAUAAUUAAAUUAAUACUUAAUACUUUUAAUUUGUAUUUAAAAUUAAACUAAAUUAAGUUCUAUUUAUAUUUAAGAAAAAAACACCAUCUUAAUCUAUUAGCUCUUAAUUUUUUUUCUUUUUAAAUGAGAGAGACUUAAUCUAUCAUGUUCACCCAAACUAUAACUUUGCAUAAUGUCAAUGAUAAUAGUAAUAGUAAUAACAAUAAUAAUAAUAAUAAUAACAAAUAUGCACAUGUAGAUGAUAAAGUCAUUAGUUCUAUGAAUUGAGUCAUAGAAAAACCUUCCUCAAAAUAUCACAAUCUUUAUGUUGUCCUAUCAAUAUGUAUAUAAGGGAUACCAAUAUGUUUAUAAGCAAUGUUUCACAAUCUUAUGAAAAAUUAAGGGAAAAAAAUAAAAUAACCAAUAACACAUCAACAAUUUUAGCAUACCAUCCAAAAUAAAUAAAAUCUCUUAAAAAUUUGAAAAAUUCUAUCUUGAGGUUAUCAUUUCUGAUAGAAUGACCAUGCCCAUCAAAGUUGGCUCUGCGUUAAUCCAGUCCAAUCAAUCAAAUCAACUAUUUAAAGUGAUCCAAAGAUUGGGACCACUUUUUAAAGACAUUUUUGUCAUUUCAUGUCUUGGGAAAUUUAAGGACAUUAUUUUCCUCAUUCAUGUAUUCAAGGUUUAUGUCGUGUCUACCAAGGUGGCUAUUUUUCCUUCAAUCAUUUUUAAUACAUUUUCUUUCAUGUCUUGCAACCUUAUCAAGAAAAUUUUGCAUUACCUUGACUUUGACUCCAUGUUUGGGUCAUCCAGAUUAGGGUCCUAUAAUUGUUGUGACUUGUCAAUUGCAUUUUAAAUUUUAUAGAACUUUGGUGAAUAUUUGCAAAUAAUAGAUAUUUUAUAUAUUUUAAUUUUUGUUGAAAAUAAUUUUUCUUUUUUUGGUAAAAAGAAUUUUACACUAGCAAUUCAUUUCCUCACAUGGAAGUGCUAGAGUUUUUUUAAAAUUACCUAAUCCAUUAGGUACUUUUACAAAGUAUACAUGAUUUAGUUGUGCUUCAAUGAAUCAAUUGCUUUAGAUUAAUUAAUUUUCAACCAAUUGAAUUAUACAUUCAGAUAUAAGGUAAUUUGGGUAACUAACAUUUAAUAGCUUAAUAAUUUCUUUAUUUAAAUCUUAUAAAAUUAAAUAUAUAACUUAUCAUAAACAAGUUGGAAGCAAAUAGUCAUUCAAGCCUUCAUUUUUCCUUUUCGAUUUGCUAUAAAGCUGAUUUUUUUUCCUAAGAACAAAAUAUUUGAGAAGAAAAUAAAAAAGUUACAAAUUAAAACCACAAUGAAAAAUAAUAAGAAAAAUAAACAAUAAGAAAACAGAAACAAAAAACACAUAAACGAUUUAUGUAGUUUGCUCUAAAGCCUACAUUCAUAAAUGAAGAUAGAAAGGAACUUCCACUAUUGUUUAAGAAGAUUAUAAUCCUAUAACUCUUAAAUUCUAAAGUCUAAAUUAAUUAUACCAAGAAAAAUGAUUAUUUCUUAUUCGCUAAAAUGUCUUCUCAUAUUUUCUUGGUUGGAAUAUUUAAUAUAAGGAACUAAUUAUCUAAUUAUUAGAGAUACAUAAUAUUUGUAGAGAUAUUACUACUAGUUUUCCUUAUUCUAUUAAAGAAAUUUAAUUACAAUUAUGAAAUAUUUUAUAUAAGGUGGUGAGGACUAUGCGUGGUAGAUAGAGAUAUAAGGAAGAGUGAGAGACACUUGGUGGAGUAAGAGGGCUCACUAAGGUGUAGAUAUGAGAAUGAGUGAAAGAUAUCUGGUGGAACAAAAAGACUCAUGAUUCAAGGUGGGGAUAAAGCGUAGGGAAACUUGAGAUGUUUUGACACCCAAUAGUUGUAUCUAUUUCUAUUCUCUAUACUAUUUUAUAUGGCAUUGUAGAAUGUUAUUUCUCAUCCAUUAAGGUAGGCAUGGUUGGUUGAAUCUUUGUGCGUGGUUUGCUUUAUUUUUGUAUUUUUUUUCUUUAACAUAUCUAUGUUGAAGUUGUUGUUGGCCCAAUAAGUGGUAUCAAAGCUUCUGAUGAUAUAACAAGUAUUUGUUGGGAAACUUGAAACAUCUAAAUACAAUAAGAAAAAAAAUGAAAUAAAAAAAGACAAAAUAUUUACCUAGUUCGAGAUAAUCGCCCACAUCUAUGGGAAAGAAAGAUCAAAUUUAUUAAUAAACUUUACACACUUCAAACUAUCUUGACCAUUCUUUACCCAAAACUCAUACACCUUUUGACUAUCUCUAUUCAUUCUUUGCUCAUUUUUUCUUUCUAUCCUAAAAUCAUAUAUAAAACCACAUAUCUAUAAAGUUCUAAUCUUGAUCAAACUUAAAAGGGUCAUUUACCCAAAUAAAAACUAUACAAAUAUUAAAUUUUCACAAAAUAAAUAUAAUAAAUAAAUUGAAUUUAUAUAUAUAUAUAUAUAUAUUAAAAGAAUUUUUUUCUUCCAAAUGCAAGAGACCAAGUACCCCGACAAGGACUUAGAUAUCAUUUUUAAGGUAGAAAAUUUAUGACAAUGAAAAAUUUUCCACAUUUCCUUUCAUUGAAUUCCACAUCCAUACCAAAUGAAGAUUGUGACCACUUUUUAAAGAUGUUUUUGUCAUGCCAUGUCAAGGGAAAUUUAAGUAUAUUAUUUUCUUCAUUCAUUUAUUCAAGGUUUAUGCCAUGUCUACCAAGGUGGCCAUUUUUUCUUCAAUUUUUUGUCAUGUCUUGCUACCUUAUCAAGAAAAUUUUGUAUUAGCUUGACUUUGACAGCAUGUUUAGGUCAUCUGGAUUGGGGCCCUGUAAUUGCCCGUGACUAAAAAAAAUACAAAAAUAAAGACUUAGAAACUAAAAUUCUAGUUCAUGUCAACAAAUUUUAACAAAGCACUCCAUAAUAUAUGAAAUUUCUUAAAAAUUGUAUUUUUGUAAUAAUAGUUCUAAGCUUUUUUCUCCCUUUAUUUUAAGAAACAUUUGAAAGUGUCAACUGCAUUUUAAAUUUUGUAGGACUUUGAUGAUUAUUUGUAAAUAAUAGAUAUUUUAUAUAUUUUAAUUUUUAUUGAAAAUAAAUUUAUUUUGGUAAAAGGAAUUUUAUAGUAGAAAUUCAUUUCCUCACAUGGAAGUGCUAUAAAAAAAAAAUUUAAAUUACCUAAUCCAUUUGGUGCUUUUACAAAGUAUAUAUGAUUUAGUUGUGCUUCAAUGUAUCAUUUGCUUUGGAUUAAUUAAUUUCCAACCAAAUGAAUUAUACAUUUAGAUAUAAGGUAAUUUGGGUAACUAACAUUUAAUAGCUUCAUAAUUUCUUUAUUUAAAUCUUAUAAAAUUAAAUAUAUAACUUAUUAUAAACAAGUUGGAAGCAAAUAGUCAUUCAAGCCUUCAUUUUUCCUUUUCGAAUUGCUAUAAAGUUGAUUUUCUUUCCUAAAGAAUAAAAUAUUUGAGAAAAUUUUGAAAAGAAAUAAAAGAAGUUAUAAAGUAAAAUCACAAUGAAAAAUAAUAAGAAAAAUAAAAAGAUGAAAAAACAAAAACAAAAAACAUGUAAAACACGAUUUAUGUAGUUUGCCCUAAACCCUACAUUCACAAACAAAGAUAAAAAGGAACUUUUACUGUUGUUUAAAAAGAUUAUAAUCCUAUAACCCUUAAAUCCUAAAGUCUAAAUUAAUUAUACCUAGAAAAAUGAUUCUUUCUUAUUCGCUAUAAUGUCUUCUCAUAUUUUCUUGAUUACAUUGGAAUAUUUAAUAGAAGGAACUAAUUAUUUAAUUGUUAGAGAUACCUAUGAUAUUUUCUUUAUAAUUUGCAUGAGAAAAACCUUAUAAUAUCUUAUAAAGUUAAAAAUCCACAAUAAUAAAUCAUAUUAAAAGUCUCACUACAUCUCUGACAAUGAUUUUUGAAUUAUUUUAAAAUAUAUACAAAAUCGAACUCCCAAUAACAUCAAUAGGAUUGUAAAUAUUUCUCUUCUAUCAUUUAAAAUAAAAAGGAAAGAAAGACCAAAUUAUUGCUUUGGAAACCCAAUUCUUCUGUAGUUUAGUUUUAUAAAAUCAAUUAGAAAAUAAAAAAAAAUUCUUAGAAUAUUCAUUUUGCAAUCCUUUGUUGUUUUUACAAUCCAAUUUGACAUAUUUUAAAUUGUAGGAAUUCUUUGGAGGAAUUUGAAAAUCAAUUUCUGGUUUAUAGCUUAAAACAUUACUCUAAUCACUUAGAGCAUGUUUGACAAUGAUAUUAGAAGUUUGAAAUUUUCUAUCAUGACAUUAUUAUUAGGAUUAUAUAAAAGAAAGGAAAAUAGUUAUCACCUAAUCCAAUCAUGUCAACUUUAGAUAGUUGGAAGUGAUCCAAAAAUUGUGCAACUAGUUUAUGUCAUGUAAUUUUAUAAUGUUUCUAUCACUAUGACCACUUUUUCUUCACUCAUUGUUAAUAUAUUUUUUCGCUUCUUGGUACCAUAUUAAGGAAAAUUUUCAUUGGAUUGACUUCAACUUUAUGGUUAGAUCAUCAACAUUCAAGCCUUUUCAAUGGCCUCUAACUAAAAAAUAUACAAAUAUAUAAAUUAAAAAUUCAAAGUCCAAAAAAAUGUUGCUAUCUUCACUUAAAACAUUAUUUUUGAAGUCGUGUCCUUUUGUCCUCUUGCACAAAACAAAAAGUACUCCUUACUCCAAUCCAAGGAUGUAUAGAAAAUAAUAAAAUAUGAAUUGACUAACCUAAGUAUGAAGUCAAGAACCAUCUUCUCAUUUAUUAAAGGAACCAUUUUUAAUCAUAUCAACUACUUAAAUAGGGUUAGAGCUUUAACAAUUAACUUUAUUUGAACUUUAUUAUCAAUUGGCCAUAUUCUUUCCAUUAAUUAAUUACCUUCAAAUUAGUUAUGUAUUAAUUAACAAAAUUUUCUAUCUGAAUUUAUAAUUGAAUAAUUACAACUAAGUGAUACAAAAUUCAAAUUAGGUUCUAUUUGGAUUAAAGUAAAAUAAAAAUAAAAAAUCACCAUCUUAAUCUAUUAUCUCUUAAUUUUAAUUUUAAUUUUUUAAAUGAGAGAGACUUAAUCUAUUAUGUUGACUCAAACUUUAACUUUGCAUUAUAUCUUGUUAUCCUAUUAGCAUGACUUUGCUACUACUUGUCCCACACAAGAAAUAAUAUGCACAUAUAGAUGAUAAAAUCAUUAGUUGUAUGAAUUGAGUCAUGGAAAAACCUUCCUCAAAAUAUCACAAUCUUCAUGAUGUCCUAUCAAUAAGUAUACAAGUAAUAUUUCACAAUCUUAUAAAAAUUUAAGGAAAAAUAAAAUAAAAUAAUCAAUAACACAUCAACAAUUUUAGCAUGCCACCUCGAAAUAAAUAAAAUCUCUUGAACAUUUGAAAAUUUCUAUGAUGAGGUUACCAUUUCUGAUAGGACCAUGCCCAUCAAAGCUGGCUCAGCACUAUAAAAUCCAAUCCAAUUAACAAAUCAACUAUUUAAAAUAAUCCAAAGAUUGUGGCCUUUUAAAGACAUUUUUGUCAUGUCAUGUGUAAUCAAGUCAGCUUUGAAUAAGAUGCAAGGGAAAUUUAAAGACAUUAUUUUCCUCAUUCAUUUAAUUAAAGGUUUGUGCCGUGUCUACCAAGGUGGCCAUUUUUUUUCAAUCAUAUUUAAUUUGUCAUUUCUUGUUAUCUUAUCAAGAAAAUUUUGCACUAGCUUGACUUUGACUCUAUGUUUGGGUCAUCUAGAUUAUGGCCUUAUAACUGUCUAUGACUUGUCAAAUAUUACAUUUUAAAUUUUAUUGAACUUUGAUGAAUAUUUGUAAAUAAUAGAUAUUUUAUAUAUUUUGAUUUUCAUUGAAAAUAUAUAUUUUUUUUUUGGUAAAAUAAAUUUUACACUAGCAAUUCAUUUCCUCACAUGGAAGUGUUGGAAAAAAUUUAAAAAUUACCUAAUCCAUUUGGUGCUUUUACAAAGUACACAUGAAUUAGUUGUGCUUCAAUGAAUCAAUUGCUUUAGAUUAAUUAAUUUCCAACCAACUGAAUUAUACAUUUAGAUAUAAGGAAAUUUGGGUAACUAACAUUUAAUAGCUUCAUAAUUUCUUUAUUAUAUAUAUAACUUAUUAUAAACAAGUUGGGAGCAUAUAGUCAUUCAAGUCUUCAUUUUUCCUUUUCGAUUUGCUAUAAAGUUAAUUUUCUUUCGUAAAGAAUAAAACAUUUGAGAAAAUUUUGAGAAGAAAUAAAAGAAGUUAUAAAUUAAAACCACAAAAAAAAAAAAAAAAAAUGAAAACAAAAACAAAAAACACGUAAAACAUGAUUUAUGUAGUUUGCCCUAAAGGCCACAUUCACAAAUAAAAAUAAAAAGGAACUUUCACUAUUGUUUAAGAAGAUUAUAAUCCUACAACUCUUAAAUCCUAAAGUCUAAAUUAGUUAUACCUAAAAAAAAUUAUUCUUUCUUAUUCACUUAAAUUUCUUCUCAUAUUUUCUUGAUUACAUUGGAAUAUUUAAUAUAAGGAACUAAUUAUCUAAUUAUUAAUAGAGAUGCCUAAGAUAGUUUCUUUAUAAUAAUAGAAAGUCUCUAUAGAAUAUAUCAUAAUAAGAAAAUAUCAAACGCAUACAAAUUAAUUCAAAUGUUAAUUUAACAUACUUUCCAACAAUAUAAAUCCAUCUCGACUCAAAUUCCCAAGAUUUAAACAUACUUGAAAGUCAUCUUUCAUGUUUCUUUACUCCACACACUUAAACAAAUUUUAGGUACAAUAAUCUCCAAUUGAGUUUAGACAAUUCUUGAGCUUAAAUAUAGAAAGAAAUUUAGUAAUUACAUCUAUUAGACUCUCUAAUACAAUGAUCUUUUUACUAGUGUCUUUUGUACUAAGUAAAGAAGCAACAAAAUCAUCAAUAGCAUACCUAUGAGAUAGUUUAAUCCACUUUCUUAUUUUGCCCCUAACCAAAGUAUAUUAUUGCUUUUAUGACACAUUUUCUUUAUCAUCAAUAUUUUGCAACUCUUCCUCAUUUAAUUUUAUUGAAAGUUUCUUUUCUAUAGUUGAUGAAGCAUUAAAUUGGAACUCCACCUUUUUUCUCGCCUUAGAAUUGUUUUAUGUAUCAAAUUGCUCUUUUCUAUUACUCAACUUUGGAGGCUCAUCAAAGAUCACAUAUUAGACAAUUAAAGGAUUUUGAACGAGGGUACCACAACCUAUACCCUUUCACACUAUCUACAUACCGUGAAAAUAUGUGCUUCCUUAUCCUUGCAUCUAAUUUAUCUUCAUUGAAAUAAGUAUAAGUAGAACAAUUAAUUUUUUUUUAAUUAUCCUUAGUUGUAAUUUAUCUUCAUUUGAAUGAGCAUAAAAAGAACAACUAUUUUAAAAAAAAAUUAUAUACAUACUUCUUGAGAAAACAAAUGGUAUUUUAUUAAAAUUGAAAUAUGAGGAGUUCUUUUUUUAUAUAAGAAAAAAACAAAUCUUGAACAAUUACAUAAUGGAUUUUUAAUGCAUCGAUUUCCUAAUAUAUAAAUAUAAUACAAUAUUUAACUAGGUUAUUAAUUUGAAAUUUAGUUAUAUUAUAAUAUGAUUUUUUUUUUUUUCAUGUCAUAUUCUGAGCACUACAUAAAAGCUAUGGUCUUUGGGUGUAAGGGCAAAUGUGUAGAAUUAAAUGAUUUUUUCAUGUUUUUUUGAAAAUUAAAUUCAACAUUUAAAUUUGAGAAAUUAUAACUUCAACACUUAUAAUUUAGCAAUAAACUUUUUUAUAUUUAAUUUUUAGUUUUAUUAGCACCAUUUUAAUCUUUGUAUAACACUAAAACCUUUUUUUUUUUUUUUUUAACUUGUGUGCUUAAAAAUGUUUUUAUUAAAUAUAAGAAUAAUUAUAAUGUUUCUAAAAAUUUUAAUUAAAUAAAAAUUUGCUUCCAAUGUUGCAUUUGACAAAAAUCAAGAGUAUCCUUAUUUAUCUGAAAAGCAAAUAAAUCAUAUGGGGAAGUGUGGUAUCCAAGAUUGAAAGUUUGGAUGCUUAUGGUAUUGUAUAAGAUUUAGCUCUAUCGAUCUAUACAUAAUAAAUGCUAGUUACUAAUAGGUAAGAAAAUCACCAAAACCGUGUGUCCAUUUCGUUUUCAAGAAAAAUAAACUAUGUGCAUCAUAGUAAUCAAAGUCUAUGGUUAGGGCUAUCCCAAGUCAAGGUCUUGCUAAAAGGUAAAUUAAUUAUAUAUCAUAGCUCAUAAACUUAAUUUUAUAUAAACUAAAAAGUAAAUUAAUGAUAUAUCAUGGUUCAUAGUGGUUAGAAAAAUUGAUAAAUUUCUUUGAGUUAUUAUAAGUAAAUCUCAUUACUAACAAUUGGAAAGAACUUUGUUUUUUGUUUUUCUAGUUGUUAGUUCACUAGACCUCUUGAGGUCACUACACGAAAAGUACUUAUAUAUAUCAAAAGAUUUUUUUUCUUCAACACCCAAGAGACCAAUGCCACCAACAAGAACUAGAUAUAAUAUCAUUGAAUUUUUAUGAACGAAGCACAACUUGCCUAUGCAAGAAGGUAGAAUAGAAGAAUUUUCCACAUUUCCUUUUAUUGAAAUCCACAUCCAUACCAUGAUAAUUUGUGCCUUCAUCCGAGAAGUUGUAAUAUUAUAAAUAUAAGAAAAUAUUAUUGGUUCUUGCCUAGUAUUCUCUUUUCGCUAUCAGUUGGAAAAGAGACAAUUUUCACAAUAAUGUGUGCCAGGACUUCUACAAUAUCCUUUGCACACUUAUAAAUGUUAAAAAAAAAAAAAAAAAAGUUUCAAAACCCCAAGACUUCAAAAAAAAAAAAUUGUUAAACUAAUUAUGGAACUUAUAACUUUUUAGAUGAGUGUAUUUACUAACUAUGCAAUCUAACAAAAUCUAUAAAAGUUCAUUAAGGAAAAAAAUAUUUAUGAGAUGUUAUAUUUUAUACUACAUAACAUUAUGCUUUGAGGAAAAAUUCUCUAGUUGUAGAACAAUUUCUUCUAAAUUAAAAGAGAAAAAAAUUGUCACUCUCUUGUAUAAUGAUUGAUUUAAGUGGUUAGAAGAAUGAUACUUGGUGAUAAAUAAUAUGAGAAUCAAUUUUUAUAAUAUAAUAAAUAUCUCAUCAAAUCAAAUGGCUAGUCUCAUACUUAUCCAUCAAUAACACACUAAAUAUCCAACCACCCCACCAAUCUCAUUAAAACCCUAUAAUACCCUAUAAAUCAUCUUUAUCAUUCUUGAAAAAAUCCACAAUAAUAAAUCAUAUUAAAAGGCUCACUACAUCCCUAACAAUGAUUUUUGAAAUUAUUUUAAAACAUAUACAAAAUCGGACUUCCAAUAACAUCAAUAGGCUUGUAAAUAUUUCUCUCUCCUACCUUCUUAAAUUUUUCGUCUACGCUUGUCACCAUAUCAAGUCAAAAUCAUGUUGAAGUGUUAGCCAAACAAAAAAAGACUUGAGCCACUAUCUUCACUUAAACGUCAAGUUUUAAUGGAGACAAAUGAAUUAUGGGGCCAUGGAACAGAUUUCUUCAUCUUGAUAAGUUGUAGGUCAUGAACCAAGUUGCUUGAAAAGGACGGUAGAGGACUGAAAUAUUUCCUCACAAGAGCCUUAUAAUAUUAUAUCUUGAUGACUUCCAAUAAGUCAAUACCACUUUCCCCCACAAGAUGUCUUCAAUGGGUCGAAAUUCAAAAUAAAUGAUUCACCUAAUGUGAUGGAAAUAGAAAUAAUUUGCAUGCAUUUCCUUUACUUUAUUUAUUUGGCAUAUCAUAACUCAAACUUUUUUUUUUUUAAUCAACUUACUGUUGCACUAUUCAUUUAGUUUAUCUUAUACAAAUAUAUACACUAAAUAAUAAUAAUUUCAUAAAUAAAAAAUUCACCACCCAAAAAUAUAAAAAAAAAUUAAUGUUUAUUUCUAAUUUUUUUAAAAUUUAUAUUAUCAAAAUUUCUAAGCUUUGGACAAUUUGACUAAAUUACGAAGUCAAAAAUUUAUUGAAAAAAACUAAUUACAAAAAAUAUUAAAAAGAAAUUCCAAGUGACACAAAGACAAAUACAAAAAAAGAAAAAAAAAUGAGGACUUUAACAAAAGAAAGUUUUUAUUACUUAUUAAUGUAAAACUUGAUUAAUAUAUUGUAAAAAUAAAAAGAAAAAUAGUUGUUAAAGUAAAUUUGUAAAAGUAUAUUGAAAAUAAAACAAACUCUCUCUACACUCCUACUUCAUCUAAUUUCUUGAAACCCCUGGUUUCUCUACGAUCUUUGCAAAUAUAAGUUAUUUGCUUAUGUUCUCAAGGGUCAUAUUUGGUUAGAGUUUUUUCUUUUUUCUUUUUUUUUUGGUGGAUAAAAAACACAGGAAAAUGAGAAAGGGAAAACGAGAAAGCAUUAGUUUGUGGGCCUAAUGCUUUCUCCACUGUCCAUGAAUUUAAGGACCAUUAAAGAAUCAAAUUUAUGUAAAUCAUGUGUAAAUGUUGGUUAAAAAAGAUGGCAUUGCCUGAAGGGAUAAACACAAAGAAUGCACAACCAUGUUUUAUCCCCUCUUGUGAGAACCUAAUAGGAAUCAAUCAAAUAGAGCAACAAGAAUUCACCCAAUCAACAAGUAUAUGAACACCAAUAAUUUUAGCGUGGAAAACCUUCUCCAAUAUGAGAAGUAAAAACCACGAGACCUUUAAGCCACUUAAAAACUCCAGUAAUAUAAUUAAUGGGUUGCACAAUUCUCUCUAGAUAAAACUACAGGCAUACAUCAACCAUAUCUCAAGAUCAAUUAAUCUCGGCAAUUUCAAUAACUUUGGAUAAAAAUAAUGGAAAGAUCUCACCAAACACACCACUGUUCUCGGACUAAAAUAUAACUGUUCCAAACUCCAAAUCCAAUCUCCACCGUUCAGAAUGAAGAUCAAUAAGUCAUGAACGUGCUAUCCAAAAAUCGGCUCAAUCGAACCACGGAUUAAUCUUGAUCGGAGCUUAUGAUCAAAACUAUCCGGAUAGAAAAUGCAUCAAAACAGAGGCUUUGUUCUCGGACUGAAAGACGACCGUCCAGAUCUCCAAAUCCGAUCUCCACCGUUCAGAUUGAAGAUCAAUGAGUUAUGAACCUCUCCUCCAAAUUUCAGGUCGAUCGGCCCACAGACGAAGUGGGAUCGUACCUUUGAUGAAAUCUGGGCAAUGAAGAAAAAACUGUGUUUUUCUCUUCAAAAAUGGUGGUUCUCCCCUUCUCUCUCUUUUCUCUCUCUCUUUUUCUUCUACCUCCGGUGGCUGCAAAAAAUUGGAAGAAGAAGAAGAAAAGGGAUUCUUCUUCUACCCCUUUUAUAUAAAGGCUUAAGAGGCCUUAAAUUUUGGGCUCUCAAUUUUGGGCCUUCCACAUGAGGAAAAACCCAACAAAUCUCCCCCUUUCCAAUUAUGUGGAGGGACUCGCUAUUCCGGCGAUUGAAUAGCAAACUUCAAGCUUCUCCCUUGGUAAGGACUUCGUUAACAUAUCUGAGUCAUUGUGAUCUAUAAGUAUCUUCUCAAGUUCAAACAAGUUGUCAUUGAGAGCAUUUCUCAUCCAAUGAUACCUCACAUCAAUGUGCUUCGAUCUUACAUGAAAGGUAAAAUUCUUACUAAGGUGAAUGGCGCUCUGGUUAUCACAGUAUACCACAUAGCGUUGCUACUUAAACCCAAACUCAUGUAUGAAACGUUUCAUCCACAACAACUCUUUACAUGCUUCUACUGCUGCAAUGUACUCUACCUCUAUUGUAGAAAGUGCAACACAUUUCUGUAGUUUUAAUUGCCAAGACACAACACCUCCUGAGAAUGCCAUUAAAUAGCCUAAAGUAGACCUUCUAUUAUAUACAUCCCCUACCAUAUCUGAAUUAGUGUAGCCAACAAGUACUAGUUUCCCACUUCCAAAAGUGAGUUUCAACUUAGAAGUGCCUCGCAAAUAUCUCAUAAUUCACUUGAUUGCCUCCCAAUGUAGUCUUCCUGGAUUAGAUAGAAAGUGGCUAACAACACCAACUGCAUAAGUUAUGUCUGGUCUAGUACAUACCAUGACAUACAUCAAACUUCCUACUGUUGAGGCAUACGGAACUCUUCUCAUGUCUUCCUUAUCCUUAUCUAUAGAAGGGCAAUGUCUACUGCUUAGCUUAAAGUGACUAGCUAGAGGAGAACUAACCACUUUAGCUUUGCUCAUGUUAAAUCUUUCAAGCACCUUUUCAAUAUAUUGCUCCUAUGACAUAUAUAGCUUCUUGGAUGCUCUAUCUCGCUCAAUUCUAAUACCAAGAAUUUUCUUUACUGGCCCCAAAUCCUUCAUGGAAAAGGAUUUACUUAACUGCUUCUUCAGCUUAUCAAUUCUUGAAACAUUUCUGCCAAUAAUCAAGAUAUCAUCAACAUAGAACAACAAUAUAACAAAAUCAUCAUCAGAGAAUUUCUGCAUAAAUACACAAUGGUCAGAAGUAGUUUUUCGGUAGCCUUGCUCUCCCAUAACUGAUUCAAACUUCUUAUACCACUGUCUUGGUGCCUGCUUUAACCCAUAAGGACUUUCUUCAACUUACACACAUAAUCCUCUUUUCCUUUUAUUGUGAAACCCUCUGGCUAUUCCAUAUAAAUUUCUUUGUCUAAAUCACCAUGGAGAAAUACAGUUUUAACAUCCAUCUGCUCAAUCUCCAAAUCAAGACUAGAUGUCAAGCCCAAAAUAACACGAAUAGAUGACAUCUUAACAACAGGAGAAAAAAUCUCAUCAAAAUCAAUACAUUUCUUUUAACUGAACCCUUUAACAACCAAUCUAACUUUGUAACGUGGCUGUAAAGUGUGUUCUUCUUGCUUCACUCUAUAAACCCACCUAUUCUUCAAAGCUCUUUUUCUCUUUGGCAACUCGACAAGUUCAAAAGAAUGAUUCUCAUGCAAUGACUUCAUCUCAUCUUGCAUAGCAUCAACCCACUUCAUCUUAUUUUCAUCUCCCAUGGCUUCCUCAUAACUUUCAGGUUCUCCCCCGUCAGUUAGUAAUACAUAAUCAUCAACAAAAUACCAUGUGGAAGGAUGUAGGUCUCCGUUAGACCUCCUGAGUGGAAUAUCUAGUGGAGCCUUUGCUACUGGUGACUACUCAUGAACAUCAUCAUCCAUCUCAACCUGUGUGGGAGUUUCAACAUCACCAAUGUCAUGUUGGUCAUCAUGUGCUUAAUCUUCAACCUGUGUAGGAAGAUGUGUCAAAGGAACUGGAUCUAAGUCAAUCAGAUUAUCACUAUACUGAAACUAUGUUGCAUCAGUCUUCUCAAUGUGUUUGACAUUCUUCAAAAUCAACACAGUACCAUUACUAGUCUCCAAACACACAUCUCCCAUACCAAUGGCUUUAGCUGAGCCAUCAUUACCCAUCUUAACACUUCCAAAAUCACCGGAUGUGUAGGAUGUAAGGAAAUCUUUCCAAGGUGUAGCAUGGAUUGAGGCACCACUAUCAAUCACCCAACUGGUCUCCUGGCAAACAAAAUUAACAACAUUACUAUCAUAAACAAUAAGGAAAUCUGAAGUGGUAGUGGCAACUUGAUCAUCUUCACCACCAUUGUCAUUAUUCUUGUCUUUCACUUUCCCUUGUUUCAUAUCUAUCUUCAAUUGGCGACAAUACUUCCUUAUAUGCCCUUUCAAAUGGCAAUAAUGACACUCAACAUUGGCAAACUUGUUAGUCUUGAUUUUGCUUCUGUCUCUGUUCUUCGGACCUCUACUCUUACUCAUCCCCCUCUUUUCAGUAAUUAGGACAUAUGACUGUGAAGAAGAACCCUGUAACUUUCUUCUCAUCUCUUCAUUCAAAACACAACUCUUAACCAAAUCCAUAUUCAUCUGGGGCUAAGUUAGACAAAGAAGUUCUAAACAUCUCUCACGAGUCCGGCAAUGUACCAAGAAGUCACAACCCUUGCACCUCUUCCUCAAACUUGAUAUUCAUUCCAGCCAACUGAUUAAUAAUACCUUGGAAUGUAUUCAAGUGAUCUGUCAUAGGAGUUCCAUCUAGAUACUUCAAGCUAAUCAUCUUCUUGAUUAGAAACAAUUUAUUGUUACCAGUCUUUCGAGCAUAUAACUGUUCAAGCUUGUUCCAUAGACUCCGUGCAUGUUUCUCUUCACUAACAUGAUUGAGAACAUUAUCAUCUACCCACUGUCUGAUAUAACCACAAACCUGUCGAUGAAGUAAAUUCCAUUAUGCAUCAGUUUUAUUUUCUGGCUUUUUAGAAGCAAACACAGGCAAAUAAUUAUUAUUCACAUACAAUAGGUCUUCCAUCUUUCCUUUCCAAACAUGAUAAUUGGAGUCAUUCAAAGUAAUCAUUCUACUUGUAUUGUUUUCCAUUGUUCUACACAAGGCACAAAUUAUCUUGAACCAAUGCUCUAAUACUACUUUGAUGGGAUAAACACAAAGAAUGCACAACCAGGUUUUAUCCCCUCUUGUGAGAACCUAAUAGGAAUCAAUCAAAUAGAGUAACAAGAAUUCACCCAAUCAACAAGUAUAUGAACACCAAUAAUUUUAGCAUGGAAAACCUUCUCCAAUAUGAGAAGUAAAAACCACGGGACCCUUAGGCCACUUAUAAACUCCACUAAUAUAAUUAAUGGGUUACACAAUUCUCUCUAGAUAAAACUAGAGACAUACAUCAACCACAUCUCAAGAUCAAUUAAUUUUGGCAAUUUCAACAACUUUGGAUAAAAAUAAUGGAGAGAUCUCACCAAACACACCACUGUUCUCGGAUUGAAAUAUAAUUGUUCAGAACUCCAAAUCCAAUCUCCACCGUUCAUAAUGAAGAUCAAUAACUCACGGACGUUCUCUCCAAAAAUCAGCUCAAUCGAACCACGGAUUAAUCUGGAUCGAAGCUUAUGAUCAAAACUGUCCGGAUAGAAAACGCAUCAAAAAAGAGGCUCUAUUCUCGGACUGAAAAACGACUGUCCAGAUCUCCAAAUCCGAUCUCCACCAUUCAGAUUGAAGAUCAAUGAGUCAUGAACAUCUCCUCCAAAUUUCAGGUCGAUCGGCCCACAAACGAAGUGGAAUCGUACCUUUGAUGAAAUCUGGGCAAUGAAGAAAAAACUGUUUUUAUCUUCAAAAAUGGUGGUUCUCCCCUUCUCUCUCUUUUCUCCUUCUCUCUCUUUUUCUUCUACCUCUGGUGGCUGCAAAAAAUUGGAAGAAGAAGAAGAAAAAAAAGGAUUCUUCUUCUAACCCUUUUAUAUAAAGGCCUAAGAGGCCUUAAAUUUUGGGCUCUCAAUUUUGGGUCUUCCACAUGAGGAAAAACCCAACAUUGCCUACUAUACAAUGACUCCUUUAAACAAGUCUCACAUCAAGCAUCUGCUUGGGGUAUGCUUUUAGAAUAAAUUUAACGUAUUUUUAGUUGUUUUUGUACAAUGUUGUGAGCAUUGAUCAAAAAGAUGAAACGGAAUUUUUACAUUGUAGAAUUUUUACUAAAAUCAAUUAUCAAUUAUUUUUAAGAACUCGUAGAAUUGUUUUCAAAUACGUUGUUAAAUAGACCCUUAUUUUUUAUGAAGUAUAUACCAUGCUACAAAGUUUUGUGGUGUAAGAAAGCAUAAUUGUGCUACAAUGUACAUACCAUUGAACUUCACAAAUGGAUCAACCGCCCUUGAGCCUUGAAAAUAGCUAGAGAAACAUGCCUUGUUUUCUUCUCUUCUCUACCUCUUUUCUCCUUUCUUUUCACUCCGCACGAUCUCUCUCCGAAAUGGUCUUCUGCUGUCUCUAAAUACCAGCCCUAGCUGCUAUCCAAGAAUGGGCUUAAGAAUACCAAAGAACCAGCCCUAUAUGUGGGCUUAAGAGAGUCUUUUCAUUGGCAAGUCCAACAACGAUAAUAAUAUAGGAUUAAAAAAAUUAAUGAUUAACAAAGGUAAUUAUGAUUAACAAAGAAACCAAUUAUUUUUUUACCUUCUAGGCAAAGUCAUACUCAAUAACCAAUAAUGACUUGUCCAUUUUUUAGCACCCUUUCUUCUUCCAUUCUUUCAACAUUUUUAGCCUCCCUGCCUUGCUUCAUUUAACAUCCCCUCAUCUUCGUAUCGAUAUAUUGCUCCUUCUACUACUUCUCUUUCAUCAUAUUCUUGUACUGAUUUAACUUACACUCCUCCCUCUUCAAUUAUCACUUCUUCUAACACAACAUUAGUUUCAUUAUCUAUCAAUCUUUCAACAAUUUCAAGUGUUGGUUCCUUAUAAAUGCGUUGGCAUUUGACUCUAAUUAUUUAUUUUUUAUUUUUAGGAGAGUCAAUAUUUGUAAAGUUUGUGUUUGGACAAGUUAUGGUUUUGAAUUUGACUAGAAUUAGGAAACUAUUAGAAAAAGGUUUAGCCAAUAGAACUUUAUAAAUAUGUGGUUCUACGCGAGAUUUCCACAAAAGAGCAAAAAAAAAAAAAAAAGUGAGCAAAGAGUGGAGAGAGAUGGUGUAUUAGGUUUUGUGUAAAAAGAAGUUAAGAGAGUUUGAGUUUGUAUUUCUAAAAUUUAUUAAUAAAUUUGAUCUCCCUUUCUAGUGGACCUAGGCGAUAAAGUAGAACAGUAUAAGAGAGUGUUGUGGUUUUCUUAACAACUGUAUCAAAGCUUUCAUUUUCUUAAAAAGUGAUAUCAAAGCUCCUAUUUUCCCAACAAGUGAACAUCAAAACUUUUGUUUUCUCAACAAGUAGUAUAUGAUAAACAUCAAGAGUCUUCACCAGAAUAGCAACUGAUUUGUUAGAUAGUUACCCUUAGAUAGGUUGCAACUGAUCUAUUAGAUAGUUACCCUUAGUUAGUUAGGUUGUUGAACCCAUAGUUUGUUAAAUCAUUUUUGAAAUAGCUUGUAUAAAUAGAUUGAUAACAAAAGUUCUUGGAGUGUUGUUCUUCUUUGUUGGCAAUCUUUUAUGGUAUUAAAGCCAAGUUUUUCCCUUUUAUCAUUUCUAGAUUCGCUUUCUUCCUUUUUGUUGGCCUGAUUACAGUCGUUCUCCUCUCAAAGAACAUCCACCGUCACAGGGCUACUUCAACCUAAUUUUCCAAUCCAUAAAACUCUCUGGACAUAACGUCCUCACAAUCUCUUAGAUUGGUUCAACCAUUGCAUAUGUUGAAUCAUUCUCUUCCUAUCAAACUAAAUAGGAGUAGUUACAUUAUCUAGUGGAGAAUAUGAUAUUUGACAAAGGGUUUGAAGAGCAUAUUAAAGGAGUUCCGUCCUCCCAAGACAACCACCAUUAGUGAAACCAAUCUAGACUUCCUUACUUGGCGACAUUUUUAUUGCGUGAUCCUGAGUUGGAUCUACACUUCCCUUACUCCUGAAAUUAUGGGACAAAUAAUUAGAUAUCAUACUUCUCAUGCAACAUGGACUGCUUUAGAGAAGAUCUUCUCCACCUCAUCAAAAACAUAAGCAAUGUAGUUUCGGUUAGAAUUUCAAACAGCUUGGAAAGGCUCCCUCCAUGAUGGAAUACAUACUCAAGUUGAAGAUGCUCAUUGAUUAACCUUGCUACCAUUGGAGAGUCAGUAUAAAAAAGAAACCAAAUCUUGAAACUUCUUGGCGGUCUUGGAGCAGAUUACAACUCCAUAGUUGCAUCCCUUAUAGCUCAUGAAGAUGAUAUACCCCUACAUUAGUUCACAACAUUUUACUCACCUAUGAACAAAGACUCAACUUUUAGAGUUCAGUAAUAGAAAACGAAGUUAUCUUUACUCAUAUAGCCACACAAGGACAAUUUGCUCACCUAAGAAGAUACCAAAACAGGGAAACUAACUCCUACUUCAACAACCAAAUUAACUCCCACCAUCAUCAAGGAAGAGGAUGUUCAGGUGGCCAUGGGCAAGAUCAUUGAACAAAUCUUAAUGGCAACGGUAGUAGACCUCAAUGCCAACUUUGUGGUAAAAUCAUAGGUUUGGUAUAAAUUUUCAAGGACCUAAUCCCUUGCCUACAAAUCCUAUCAAACCUUCAUCAAUCACUCCUAAUAGCAAUGAUAUACAAACGAUGAUGGUCUCUCCUUUAAUCUACAAUGAAUCUUGGUUUCUUGACAAUAUUAGGGCAACACACCAUCUCUCCCUAAGUGAUAAUACUCUCUCAAACGCUCAUCCAUACCACAACAAUUACAAAGUCAUAGUUGGAAAUGGUAAGAAAUUAUCCAUCUCACAUGUUGGUUCUAAGUCAUUUCAAACUUCUCACAAGUCCUUUCAAUUACGAAGCAUUCCUCAUCUUGCUACAAAUCUUAUCAAUGUUCCUAAAUUUUGCACUAACAACAAUUUAUUAUUGGAAUUUCAUCCUACUUUCUUUCUUAUUAAGGACUAGAAUACAAAGAAGAUUCUUCUUCAAGGAAACAUUGAGCAUAGAUUGUAUAAAUUCCCCAAUAACCACAUUGGUACCUCUUCAACAUUCUUUCCUUCUAGGCACUUAGCUCUCAUUAGAUAAUAAAAUAAGAAUGAGCUAAUCAACUGAUGAAUUCAACAACCAUCUUAUUAAAAAAUAUAAAUAAUUACUCAGAUAGUGUGAUGGCCAGAUAGGAUAGUCUGAUGGAAGAUGGUGACAACCUCUCUUUUUUUAACAUAAAGCAUAAUAAUUCCAAGUCCAGGAUACUUUUCUUCUAAUAAAGUGCUUGCUUUAAACUUUCCUUUUGAUAAAGUUUUUGCUUUAAAGUUUAGUUACUUUUAGAGUCAUGAGGUCUUGUCCUCUUAUACAAAAUCUUUUUCUUACCCAAUUGCAAGAAAUGAUAUGAGAUAAUGAAUUAAGAAUGAACUAAUCCAAUUAUGGAUCAACAACCAUUCUAUUUUAUAUAUAUAACCAAUUCUAAUCACCCCAUUACCUAGAUAAUGUGAGAGUUAUAGCAAUUAAGUAAUUCAUUUAAUGUUAAACUUGUAAUCCUUCUAUAAAUUACCUUUAAAUUAGUUAUAUAUUAAUUAACAUAUUUUUCUAUCUUAAUUUAUAAAAAGCUACUCAAUCAAUCUCAUUAACUCCACCCAAAAAAAAUACUACCAUAAGUUCUAAGAGAGUUUGAAUUAAUGAUUAUCAAUUCUUUUAUAUUUCAUCCAAGUUGUUGAGUCUUUACAUCUAGCCCCUACAAGAUGGAAUGAUCUUAGAAUUACUAUUUGAUUAUAAAUUAAAUGUUUUUAAAUUUGAUUCUUAAAAAUUUGCUCUAUUAAGCUAAUAAUUUGAUCAAAACUAUAAGGGAGUUGGGUUAAGACUAUAAUAUUUCACUUAAGUGGUUCCUCCUCUAUACUGAAGUGGAAUAACUUUCUAUAUGUUAGGAGCCAAAAGAAUUUGAUUAAGAUUUAAGAAUCCAAACUUCCAGUUGACGGAGAUUCUAUAGGAGUCCUAUGUUUAGGUCAAUAAGAAAGGGAGAGUUUCAUGAAAGUCUGAUAGGUUGUUGCACCCAAUUUUUGGUAUUGUUUUAGAUUUAUAAGGUUGUUCUAUUGGAUUCAUCAAGCCAUUGUGUGGAUCUACUAACAAAAGGGAGAGCCAAUUGUUCUCUUUAAUUUGUUGGAUAUUUCUAACUUUUUAAUUUUGAGUUCAUAGUUGGUAAAUAAUAGUUGUGCAUUUCCACCAAUAUUUAGAUUUUUUUUUAUUUUGCUUUUUUAACUUUUGAUCAAAGUUAUGUAGUGGUUGUAUUUUUUUGGCAAGAUUUCUUAUGCAAUGAAUAAUCCAACUUCGGUGAUAUUUUAAGUUACCAACCAUGCUAAAAUCUUCAAAGGACUCAAUGUUGAGGUGAUACGGCUAUAAGGGAUUGAGAAUAAAAGUAAAAUACCAUGUGAAAGAGAUGAAUCGAAUCCUAACAAAGUGGGAUUUGAUUUAUAUAAGAAUAAAUUUUGUAUUUCUAUUCUCAUUCCAAAAAAUAAUAUAUUCAACUAUAAAAUGAAUGGAAAAUGAAAUAAUAGGUAAAGGUCGCCUACUUAAAAGAAACAUAAAAAGGAAGUCUGUGUAAGGUAGGGAAUUUUAUGCAACUAUGGUGUAUCUGAUUUCUUUCCUUGAAACAUUUAUUGGAAAUUUCAUGUCAUUUCUAUGAUUUCAUUAAAUGUUUUAAUGUGUCAUUACAUCUCGGUUUAUUGUGUUGAAAUGUUACAUUGAGAUUGGAACGCAUAUUGGUGUGGAGAUUCAUGGUUCUGUGUUAUGGAAAUAGUCUAUGGUGUGGUUGCAUGGCAAGAAGGAUAUGGAAUAAUCACGGAUGAUAUUUAGAGAAUUGGUUGGUAGGAAGUGUCUAUGUGGUGCUACAGGCAUUAUCUUUUGAUAUAUUGUUUAUGUGGGACCGUGGGUCCUUGGGUGAAAGUCCCUAAAGCCCUCGAGGAAGACACUCCGAUGUGGGUGUAUGGGGUUGGUCCUGCCCUUGGGUUUUAGUCCCUAAAGACACAAGAUUGGUCCUGCCCUUGGGUAUGAGUCCCAAAAGACACGGGGUUGGUCUUGCCCUUGGGUAUGAGUCCCAAAAGACACGGGUAUGACUUGCCCUUCAGUGAUGUCCUAGAAUAGUCAUCAUUAUAUUGAUCGAGUAUCUUGUGGAGCAUUGAUAUCUGAUGUGUAGAUUGUUGGGGGUCAGCAGUUUAUCAGUUGUGAAAGGAUGGAUGGGGAAAAGCAAUGAUGAAACUAGCAAACACAUGCAUACAUGUUUGACAUGAUUAUACAUUGUUUAAUGGUUAUAAAAUGUUUAUCAUCCAUGUUUUUAAACAUUUAAUUCAAGGUUUUUAAGGGUAUGCUUUGGAUUGUUAUAAACUUUUCUACUGAGUUGUGAACUUACCCUAUCCCUUCCACCUUUAGAUGUAGGUCAGAAGACCUAUGCAGGAAAUAAUGCUUGAGCAAUGCUUUACUGUGAUUGGAUUAUGUUUGCUCAAUUAAAAGUCUUUUGAGGCUUUGCCUUUGUAUUAAGGACUAAAUAUUUUUGUAGGAAUGAUGUAAUAUAUAUACUUGUCAGGUACACUUGCAGUAAGGGCUACUCGUAGUGAACAAUGAGGUUUUGGUAUAUGUAAAUUAACGUAGUAUAAGUUUCUUUUAAGAAACGAACCAUAUUUUGUUAACUACAAGUUACAAAGUUUAAUAUAGGAUGUACUCUUUAUAACAGGUUUUGCAUAUCCUCUUUUUGCACAAAAUCAAGUAGGAACUCAACAUUUAAUUUUUUUGAGAGCACUUAUAUUGUAUUUGAGUAUCAAUUGUUUGGUUUGAAGAUUAACAAAAAAAAUUUGGGGUGUGACAUUCUCUCUCAUUCUUUUUUAUAGGUAAUAAAAUAAAAGAAUAGUAUUCGUAAUUUUUCUAUUCUCCUUGUUCCAAACAUAAGGAAAUCAUUUUUCAUUGCCAUAAUAGCCUUUAAAGGCAACUGUUGAUUGCCCAAUGAGAAUUAGCAAUACAAGAACAAGUUUAAACUUGAGGACACCUCUAUUCUUCAGACUAUAUGCCAAAGAUGGGUUUAUAUAGAGUUCAAGAACAUAUUUGAAAAUGACUUGUUUGAAACAUUGGAAUAAGAAAUAGGAAUGAGAAAUCAAUUUCAUCCAUAUAUUAUUUAUUACCUUGUUUAAAUUACUUAUUACAAAAGAAAAUGAAAUAAAAAAUUAAUUUCCAUUAAAACUAAAAAUAAUUUCUAUUAGAGUUUUGAUUUCUCUCUUAUAAUGUUUUCAAGAUUAGAUUGAUCAUUGAAUUGGAAAGUACUUAUUGUGUCACGAUUCAAUCAUUGAAUCAAUGGUUCAACCAUGAUUGAACUAUGAGGAAUAUAACUUCAUAAAUAUAUUAAUAAUAUUAAAUUAAAAAUAAUCAUUAAUAUUAAGAAUAUUUAUAAAUAAUUAAAAACUUAUCAAUUAUUUGCUACCAGUUAGGGGGUAGCUUGUUAACAAUGCCUUAUGGCAAUGAGUGAGUUUGAGCCCCCUUGUUAUAUAAGUAGUGUAAGGUAGAGGUGUGACCCAUAUCACCAAGAUUUGGUGGUUGGGUUAAGCAUUGAGCACUAUUUUAACUUGAGUCUUCGGAAGUAAAAGGUCCAACAAGACUUGAGAACAAAAUCUGAGCCAAAUUUAGGGUCUUCAUGUGAAGUCAAUGUAUGAAGAUGGGUUUAGACUAGGCUAAGCUAGAUUCUAAUACUCGAGAACACCUUGAUAUUGUUAACUUGAUCAUAUUUCAUACCGAGGGAGUGCAAUGAGCACAAGAUUUGAGUGUUCAAGUUGAAUGAAUUGGUUUUUUUGAAUUUCAAAUAUUUAAUGGUUCACUUUACAUAAAUUUAGAAUAUGAGAAGUUGAUGGUUUUAAUAUGAAAAAGUACUCUAUGUUUACAAUAUUCCAAGCCUCAAUGUGAAGUAGAUUUAUUAAUUAGCCCAAAUUCUAGAAUUCUAAAAAGACUGGAGAAUUAUUCACUUCCUUGAAUUUUAUAUUUGAAGAUUGCCUUGAAUUACACCAAGUUCUAUUGAAACUAGUGAGAAUAUAAGUCCAAUAUAUCAUUUUUAUUGUUCUCAUUACAUUUUUCUUUAUUGGUGUUUAAUUUUUCUUUUAGAAAAAAUAAAUGUUUUUCUCAUUAACAUAUCAACAAGUUUUAGCAUACUUAUAGACCCCAAAAUUUGUCCCAAUUUUAAUUUUACAUUAAUUUUGAGCCCAAUUUUAAAUCCCGAUUACAUGUGUUAUUUUAGGCUCACUCACCCUUUAAUUUUUAGUUUUCAUUAUUUUAUAAAUUAUUUUUUAUUUUUAUUUAUUCAUUUUAUUAUUAUUAUUAUUAUUAUUAUUAUUAUUAUUAUUAUUAUUAUUAUUAUAUUCUUUUUUUAUUUUUUUAUUCUUUAUUUCAUUAUUUUAUUUUUCCUCUCUCAUCUCUUUUCCUUUUUCUCCUCCACCUACCCUCACCCACCCACUCUUCUCUCUCUCCCCCAAUUCCCUUUCCCCCCCCCCCCCUAUUUUUUUCCCCCCAAGUUUUCCCUCAUUUUCUUCCCCAACAUCUCUCCAUUCCUCUCUCUUCUCUUACUCUUACACUGCGGGCCCCCAUCCUUCUUCCCUUCCCCUUCAUUUUUUCCCUUCCCCAUCUCCCCACUUCUUCUCCAACACGGCGGGCUCCAUUCCCACUUCCAUUUUUUUUCUCUCAUCCUCACAACCCUAUUUUUUUUUUCUUCCUCCCGCAACACCCAUUCUGGACGGCUAGGAACCUCCCACUUCUUCCCCUAUUUUUUUUUCUCAUUUUCUCCUACCCAUUUUUCUUCCAAUAUUUUUUCCACCAUUUUUUUUUCUUUCUUUCUCAUUUUCUCCUACCAAUGCUUCCAAUAUUUUUCCCACCAUUUUUUUCUUUCUCUCUCUUCCUCCAUCAACCCGACUUCCAAAGGCACCAGAAUCCUUCCUUUAUUAUUAUUAUUAUUAUUAUUAUUCACCAAUCUCCCACUACCGCGGGCAAGCCCUUGCUAGUCGCCGCUUUUCUGUUAUUAUUAUUAUUAUUGUUUUAUGUUAAUAGUAAUUGUUGUUUAUAAAAUUUGGAUUGUUGAAUUAAUAUGAAAUUUGAGUUAAUUUGUUGUCGGUAAAUUAAUAUGAAAUUUGGGCUAAUUUAUUGUUGGUGAAUUAAUUUGGAAUUUGUUAAUUUGGGCUAAAUUAAAUGAUAAUUUAUAUGGUUAUACUCAUUUGAAUUAUUUAAUUUGGAUAUGAUGUAAUAUUGUAAUAUAUUUUGGAUGUGAGUUUGCAUAUUAAAUUGGGUUAAUUUUGGUUGUGGAUUUAGGUUUGCAUGUUAAAUUGGGCUUGAAUGAUGAGAUAUUAAAUUUAGGCCUAACGAUAUUUAUUUUAAUUUAUCAUAUUUUAGGUUUGAUUAUUUGAGCUUAUAUUUUGGCUAUUAAUUUGGAAACUUUAGAUUAUGAUCUAUGAUACGUGAGAUAUUUUUGUUGGGGUAUAUUUGCUAAUUUGGGUUUUUUUUUUUUAAUUGGUGAAAUUUAUUGGGCUAAUUUGAAGUUUGAAUUUGGGUUUGAAUAUCUAUUGUGAAUUUUAUACUUUUUUAGAUAUUUAUAUUUGGGCUAUUUUUGUCUUUGUAUGGGCCCAUUAUGCAAUUAUGUUGGUUGGAUACAGAUUUAUGACAUGUGGAGCACAAAAUUUCAUGGAAGAAAGUGAGAAUAAAAAAGUAGUAGGAAGACGUCGAGCUUGUAAGUUUAUUUGGGUACAUAUUUUAUUUUCCACUUUUAUUUGGUUUGAUUUUUAUUAGUUCUUGUAAAUAUUUGUUUAUAUAUAUUUAUUGAGUGUGUACAGAAUUGAACAUCGAAUAAACUAGAAAUUUUGUUUAAAUGAGAUGAAGAAUUCAGUAAAUGUGUUUUGAUAAAACAAUAAUUUUAAAAUAUUUUUUUUAAUAAAAGAAAGUUUUUUUUUAUUAUUUAUAAAAAUUCAGAAAAAUACAUUUAGAAAAAUCCAAAAUAAUUGUUUUUAAUAGAAUUCGAAAAAUUGUUUUUAAUAACAUUGUCCAAAAUUUUCUUUGUUUAAUAAAAAUUGUCCAAAAAUUGUUUUGUAAAUAAAGUUGUCCCAAAAAAUUAAUUUUUAAUAAAAUUGUUUAAAAAUAUUUUUUUUAAAUGAAUUCUUUCUCUUUAAUUAAAAUGGGAUUAAAAGUGUUUUUCAGAAAUAGGGGAUUCAAAUCUUUGUUUUUCUUUUUAAUUAAAAUUUAUUUUGCAAAUAAAGUUACGUCGUUUUAAAUAAUUUGUUAAAAUCAUUUUUUUUAAAUGAAAAUGAAUCAAAAUACUUUUGUAAAUAAAAUUGUAAAAAUUCAUUAUUUUCUGAAAAAAAUCAAGUAAAAUAAUUUUUGUUGCCAAAUUAAAAUUUUGUAAUAUUUUUUUUUUAUACAAUAAGUACAAAUAACUUUUUUCGAAAAUUAAAUACAAAUGAAAUUGAAUCAAAUCAUUAAUUGAAACUUCUUUUUUGUAAAUAAAUAAAUUGAAAUCAUUAAUUCAAAAUCAUUUUUUUAUAAAAUCUUUUGAAAUUUCUUGAAAACCAUUUUUUUAAUACCUUUUUUUUUAGUUCAAUAAAUCAUUUUUGAACAAUUCUCUUGUUAUUCAUUUCAUGUAUUCUUAUAAUUAGAUUUCAUUAUUAUUUUUGUGUACGUUGAUUUUCAUCAUGACUUGUACAUUAAUUAUUUUUCUUGAUAUCCAUAAUUAAUUAAUUAAUUGUCACAAUUCUCUUGAUUUGUUUAGUAAAGACUGUAUACGGGCUUAGAGGGGUGCUACGUCUUACCAUCUUACCUUCCCAAUAAGUAACUUGACCCCUAAACCCGACUUUGGUUUUCCAAAGACCUGUUUUUCUUUCGGGAAUCACACUUAGGGUUUUUCUUUCUUAUUUGUUUUUCCCUUUAAAAAAAAAAUUAAAAUAAGUGGCGACUCCAAGUCUUUUUAAAAAAAAAUUAAAAUUUCAUCAAAUAAAUAAAAAAAACGAGUUUCUCCAUCAAACGAAAAUGUGGGGUCCACAAUACCACUUCAAAAUAUAUGAGAUUUUUUAAAAAUUGUACUUUAUUAGUAAGAACAAUUCUAAAAUUUUUCUUUUCUUUAUUUUAAGAGCGAUGUGAAAGUGACUACCAUUUUAAAGUUUAUAGGAAUUCCACAAAUAUUUAUAAAUAAUUGAUAUUUCAUAUAUUCUUUUUAAAAAGUUUAAUUUUUUUGGUGAAAUGAAUUUUAUAUCGGUAAUUCAUGUAUUAGAGCUUCCCUCUCAUAGAAGUGCUAGAAAAAUUUAUGUUGUGUUUUGUUCUAUGAAAGAAUGAAAGAAAAAAAUGUUAAAGAAAAUAAUUUUCUUAUAUUUGGUUUUAUUAUGAAAAACAUGAAAUAAAAUUAAAUAUAAUUAAUAUUAGUUAGAAACUUAUUCAUUACAAAUUAUUUAUUCUUUCUAUAGAAGAAGUAAAAUAUGUUAAAUAAGUUUGAAGUAGUAUAUAAAAAAUAAUUUAUUGAUCUUAAAUAUUUUUUUAUUUUCUUUCACUUUUUUCCCUCAAUUUUUCUUCUCUAUUUUAUUUUCCUCUCACAUUCUCUUAGAUUUUUCAAACCUAAAAAUCACCUAAUCCAUACAACGUUGUUACAAAAUAUCAAUUAGUUAUGGUGAAAUAAAUCAAUUGCUUCAAAUGAAUUAGUUUCUCCGACCUUUGAAUUGUGAAUUGGGAUAUACGAUAAUUUGGGUAACUAACAUUUAACAAUUUAACAUUUUCUUUAUUUAAGUUAUAACAUUUAACAUUUAACAAAAUUUUUAGUGUAAAAUUUCUUUCAUGAAUAAGGCUUGAUCAUCAAUUUAAAAAAAAGAAUGACAUUAAUUAAAUGAGAAAUUUCUUCACAAAUUGUGUGAUUGAAUGACAAAAUUGAAAGUUUUGUAUACAUCUAUCUCAAUCAUUAAAUACAAUAGCUUGAUAAGGAGGAUUUAUAAUAUUUGGAAUUGCAAUAAACUUAUUUUUAUAAGACAAUAAAAUAUAAAUUGACAAAUUAAUUAUUUUUUUAUAAACACAAUAAAAUAAGUGGUUAGAAUAUCAUUGUCUACACAUAUAUAGAUUAAGAUAAAAAUAUUUAAUAAUUUCAAAUUUAGAUAAUAGAUGUUAAACCACUUUGCAUAUUUAAUAAUUCAAGUAAAAAAGUUACAAGUAUUUUAUUAAAAUAGGUGGCAAUGCAAUUUAAACUAAUUCAACAAAUUCUUUGCAAGUCAAAAAAUUCCUAGUAUUUUAAUAAAGUCAAUGAGAAUAAAAUUUAAGCUAAUAUAUAAGACUUUAAUCAUAGUGUAAUUGUCCUCUUAAAAUAAUAUUAGCAUUAUAAUUUUAAUAAAAUAGAUGGUUAACAACAUACAGCCAUGUUAGGUUCUUCACUUUUUAGUCUCUUGUUCAUGCUAUGAGGUUCCUACCUCUUGGUCUUUGUAAUUUUAAUUUCUUUUCAUUCCUAAACUUCAAAUAUUGAAAUCAAAAUUUGUAUACAAAAUUAAAUGAAAUUUAUUUUUAAAAAUUUUAGAUAACUCUUGUUUUAUUGAUUAAUUAAAAUACCUUAAUAUAGCAUAAUGUGAAUAAAGAAAUGAAUUUACCAUAAAUUAAUAAAAUUGUCAUUGGUAAUUUAAAACCUUAAUAUGAUUAGAAUAGAUUUUGUUUUUAUCUAUUUUUUCUUUUGUUUUUCAAGAAAGUUUGGAUCUAAAUUUUCUCAUCAAUUAACUAAAAAAAUGAAAACAACAAUAUAAAAGUGAAAUCAAUAUAUAAAAUAAAUCCUCAAAUUUCAAAAUCAUAAGACUAAAAUUCUACUAUAUUCAAAUACUAUUUUGACCUUCAAUUUCACUUUUUUAAUAAAAUUUUACCUUAACAGAAAUAGUGAUUUUUUUUUUUUUGUUUUUACCUUAAUAAGAAAGUCAUUUUUUUUUCUCUUUUGUUUUUUCAAUCUUCACCUUUAUCAUAAUACUCAAAUCUAAUUUUAUAUAUAUAUAUAUAUAUAUAUAUAUAUAAAAUUAAACUAAAUUUAUUUUUGAAAAUUUUAGAUCACUCUUGUUUCAAAAACUAGUUAAACUACUUUAAUACUAUAUAACUUCAAUAAAAAAAAUGAAUUUAUCAUACAUUAUCAAAGAUGUCAUUAAAAAAAGACUAAAUAUGACUUAAACAAAUUUAAUUUUUGUCCAUUUUCUUCUUCUAUUUUUUUGCUAAGGUUAGGUUAGUAUUUCUAGCCCGAGACACAUUAGCUGACAAAACCAUGACCUUUCGAAAAUUAGGCUCAGGUCUGAUCCAUUAAAUUGACAAGCCUCCAAGACAGGCCCUGAUUAGCUUACCAACAUGUUUGUGUUGGACUAAGCCCACCUUAAGUGGGAUUAAGGAAAUAAUAAGAAAUGUUUGUUGCUUAACCAAGGAGAGAUGGGUGUUGAUUUAUAUUGGGUUUUCCAUUGUAUUGGAUUAUUGAUCUUUGAAACUUCUUUGAAAGUUUAUUUUUGUAAACUAGUAAUAACUAGUCUUGAUUUUUGUUUUCAUUCAAGUUAGACAAAACUUUUGAAAAAACGCCCUUAUGCACAAAAGUGAGCCUAUAUUGAAUUCGACUCUCAUAACCCAUGCCAACAAGGUAUAUAAGUUCAAAGUGGGGACCACUAAGAGCCAUAUGAGUAUUAGCUCCUUCAGAUUCCAAUUCUAAAGUUGAAUCAACAUUCCAUUGCAGAGAAUCAACUAAACUCCAAUAUCCUAUGUAAGUAACAAUGAGACAUUAUGUGCUUAGGUCCAUGACUUGCUAUCCAUUACGUUUAGUCUCUCCAUGAACUAACGUUCAUAAUCUAACAAAGUGAAAGUUAUCAACCUUUUAAUACUACCUCUACUAUCCUUGAGUUAUAUAUAUCCUCUUAUUGUGUGUUUAACUAACAUGCCUUAACUUUUAAAGAUCUUAUGUCAAGUUCCAGUUAAGGAAUUACCAUGACCAUAGUUUCCAUGAACACACCUCCUUAGAUCACUCAAGGGGACACACUGUCUCGAUUCCAUUAGAUAUCAUGGUGCCUCUAUUGAGAAUACCUAUUGUCAUUGACUUCCAUCAAUAGUGACCCAAUCUAUAAGCUGUCAUUAAUUAGCUUAUGAUCUCACUCGUAGGUCAAAGCCACUGUUAACUUUAACAUAAACUCAAUAUUCUCUCAAAGUUGAAAGACAAUAUAAUAAAACAGCUUGGUAAAGUCAUGACUACUUGAUAACCAUAAGUCAUGACUCAUUGUAGGUCCUAUCUAAUGUGUAACUAUACACACUAGUGCACUCACCAUAUUCCCGAUAGCCAAGAUCAGUCAUCCCUUCAAUUAGGAGGUAAUGCACUAUACCCUCUAAUGGGUAAUCUAGUCCUACGAACCGGUUGUGAAUAAAUAAUCUAUUUACAAAUAACCAAUGACUUGGAUCUUUUGUGCAACUCCUAAUACACUUGUAGACCCUCGUUUUUCAUGUGUGUUUCCACUUGAUGACAAGACUCAUUUUUUAGUGAAAAACUAAUUUUUAUAAAACUGAUUUUUUAUUUUGAAAUUCCAUUUUAUUUAUUUCCAUUGAUUCAUUAUUUUAUGCUAACAUUACUAAUGUGUUUUUAUUUCCAGUCAUUUCAUUAUUUUAGCUAACAUUACUAAUGUAUUUCAUUUCUAGUCAUUUCAUUUCAUCUCCACAUGCAGCUGGUGGAGAUGACAUCCACCAUAUACUCCCGUUGCUGUCGUGUUUCUGAUUGUAUUUGUGCGCGUGAUGCGAAACUAUAUUUGAUGAUCAAGUCAAUGCCAAAGAUGGAAGACUGAUGAUCUCACCGAGAUGGAGAAUCCAGAUGAAGAAGUAAGAGACCACCGAUUACGGCUUCCAAUAUGGUGAUGUUGUGGGUGGAUAAAUGGAGAAGCUGUCUAGGUGUGUUGCGAGACCAAUGGAGAUCAUGAGCAGUGAUCUGGUGUUGUCGAAAAUUUUCACUCCAGAUGAUGAAGAUGAAGAUUUGGUGUCGAUGAAGACGAGCUUUUGAGAUGAAUUGUUGCACGUACCAAAAUGGCGAAAUGCAGGUCUGAAGAUGGUGACUGCAAGAUGAAAUGUGGACCGAAAUCCAAAGUCUAAUUGAAAACCUUCUAGUGUCGGAAAUGGAAAGCUCUAAUGGCGGUGGUGACUUGUAGCACUGCUGAUCUUCAUGGCGGUCACGGCAAACUCAAAUGGUGGACCUAAACCUGCAGCAACGAUGAUAUUCAUGGCGGUGAUGGAGAGCUCUAAUGGCGGUGAUGAAUUUCAUGAAGGCGGUGAUGGACUCUGAUGUCGGUGAUGAAAUUUUUUCUCAGAGAAAAGAUCAUGCUCUCUUCCUCCCCAAGUCGAUCAUGUAAGUGGAGUCUUCCAGAGGACUCCACUUACAUCCAAAUUACAUGCGGUGAUCAUCUACCCACACGCACCUACAUGACCCUCUUAGACUGCAUGAUAGUCGCGUGAUGGAGCACUUCUCUUCCCAAGCUUAAAUAACCUUCUCCAAGUUACAUAAUAGCCAUGUGAUGGUGCUUCUCUCCUAGAACCUAAGUGACCUCAAAAUUCCACAAUAGUCACAUGAUAAUGCCUUUCUUCUAGAAGCCUAUGUCAUGAAACCUUGCCUUUGGACCCAUGCAUGAAUAUUCCUAAUGUUAAUUAUGCACUACCUCAUAUCUAAAAGUGACCUCAUGCAAAAAUAAAAUUAAAACACUCUCAAAAUUACACAACUAAAAAUAAAAAAUCAAAAGUCAUAUAUUUAAGGAUAAAAAUCCAAAUACAUGCACACAAAAAACAAAAAUAAGUUUCAUACAAUUAAAAGAAAAUCCAUAUAUCCCUCGCAUGCAAUCAAAUAUCCAAAAUAGCCUACAUACAAUAAAAAAAAUCAAUAUCAAUCCAAACUCACCUAAUCCUAAAACUAUGCCAUGGUAAAAUAAACACAAACCUAAAUGCACUAGAAAUCAAUCAAAAACAAAGUCCUGAACUGGGAAUCAGGGGUCACUAAAAUCAAGGUUGGGAUCCACCUAAUCCCUCCUAAAUAUCUCUCAUAGAAAAUCCAAAAAUAGUGAUUGAAAUAGUUAUAGUGGACCACCAAUGAGAGCUCAAAAAUAGCUUAAAAAAAGACCAUAAGUGGAUAAUAAGACAAUAGAGAAAAUAGAAAGGCAAUCUUGGAUGGAAUGUGCCAAGAGGAUAAAAUAGAGGGUUUACAACACUCAAAUCACAUACAAUGCAAAAGAUGUAGGCAAGAAUGCUCAUAAAGCAUAAUGCAUGGAAUAAAGAUAGAUAAAAGUGAAACUGGAAUAUCAGUAAAUAAAUAACGAAUUCCAAAUUUAUUACAUCAUGUCAUGCUUUUAAAGACUCUAUAAUAACAGUAGGAACCUAUGUCCCUAUCUUCGCUUGAAACUUUACUUUAGGAAUUUAUUAUCUUGUCAUCUCAUAUAAAAUAUACUCCUUAAUUCAAUACAAGGAAGGAUAUAAUAUGAUAAUAUAUGAAUUAGCUAAUCAUGUUAUGAAGUCAAUAACCAUCUUAUCAUUCAUAAAAGAAUUAUAGUGUUAGAACUUUAGCAAUUACCUAGUUCAUUUGAUGUUACUACAACUUGAUCAUUAAUUAGUAAUCCUUUGUAAAUUAAUUACCUUUCAAUUAUUUAUAUAUUUAUUAACAUAUUUUUUCUCUCAAUCUAUAGAAAGCUACUCAUUCCAUCUCUUUAACUCCACCUAAAUAAUACAUAAUACCUAAAGCUAUAAGAAAGUUCAAUGAAUGAUUAUCAAUUCUUCUAUGUUUCAUCAAAGUUGUUAGAUGAGUUGUAGUGAUCCCUACAAUAUUGAAUGCUUUUAUAAAUACUUGAUUAAAAAUUAAAUAUUUCUAAAUUUGAUCCUUGAAAAUCGGAUCCACUCUAUAAUUUGAUCUUAUUAAUAAUUUUAUCAAAUCAUUUAGGGACUUGGUUUAAAAUUAUAACACUUCACCUUGCACCAAGAUGAGGAAAAUAAACAUCUAUAAAAUUUAAACUCAUGACUUAUCAUCAGUUAAAAUUUUAACAUAUUAUUAAGCUAAUAAUUUGAUUUGGUGAUAUAAAUAGUUGAUUGGUUAAUUAACAAAGAAUAGAAGCAAAUUCAAGUUCAAACUAUGUAUAUCAUAGUGAUCCUUUUUUGUCCUUUUAUUUUGGUCUUUAUUUAGGCAUAUAUCAAGUAAAAAUCAAAUUUACAAUUAUCUAUGUUUCUAAAAUUUUUCUUCUACAGAAAAAGAUUUAAGCUAUAUUUCCUCAAUUAUUUUGAAAGAAAAAGUACUUAAUAUGUAAUAUAUAUAAUGGCCCAAACUCUAACUUUGUGUGAUGUACUCCACUUAUCCCUUGAGCAUGACCUAUGAUGAUAAAUCAUGUGUAGAAGUCAUGUUUGAUAAUAUUAUAAAAAGAAAAAAAAAAUACAUAUGCACAAGUUUUAGCAUACCGCUUCAAAAUAUAUGGGAUUUCUUAAAAAUUGUAUGUUAGUAAAAAUGUUUCUAAGAUUUUUUUUUCAUUGUUUUAAGAAUCGUUUGAAAGUGUCUGUUGCAUUUUAAAGUUUAUAGGAGUUUUAAUGAAUAUUUGUAAAUAAUGUAUACGAACCCGAGCCGACCAAAGAGGAGGCGGAGAGACUUGCUGAAAAUGGUCCAUUUUACUUGAAGCCAAAAAAGAUCGAAAUCAAUGUCAAUCAAUAGAAAUAAAUGCCAAGUAGAAAAAAAUAAGGAAGAAGAAAACGAUCGAAAUUCUGACCAAAGAAUUAGACAUUCGAAGACCUUUGUUACUCAUAUUAGCACCAUAUUUUCUUUUUCUUUUUUUAAAAAAAAAUAAAAUUGGUAGAAAGAAUUUUACACCAUUAUGCUUCUAGCUGGCCUAAUACUCUCCAUAUUCCACUCAAUUUGUAGAAGCCAUAUCAGAAACACAUCACCAUUCACUUGCGAACCUUUCUGCCUUCUUUGAUAUUUUUGUGCAACAAACCCAUCAAAUAAAUCCUCUAAACAAUCACAAAUACACAAUAGAAAAUCCAAGAGAAAGAAAUGAACCAAAUAUGGGAGACAAGCGAAAUGGAAGAUCAUGAGUGUAUUUCGAGUGUUUGAUAUGGGAGAAAAGGUGAUAAAAAGAGAAGGAGCUCGAGUAGUUGAAAGGCAUCUUCACUGCAAUUUAUGUGUGUGUUGUGUCCUAAUCUCCCCCAAAACCAAGACCAAGUUCUUUUGCUCCAUCUGUUCUUGUUCCCUAAUCCUUGCAUUUUUUUAUUUUUAUUUUUUGCAAGCAUUUUCCUCAUUACAACACCAUAAAUAAUAGUAAUGUGAGUAUGGAAACUUAGGAAAUUUGAGGUUGGUGUUUGUUUUAUGUAUUUGGUAAUAAUUUAAGUGGUGUUUUGGAUGUAAUUUGAAUGAAUGUAGAAUCUUGUUGUUUAGGUUAUGAAAACCAAGAGAAUUUGAAGAGGGUGUUUUUGGUUUGCAAUUAUUUACCUAGUGUAGUCAUACACACACAUAUAUAUAUAUGAGAAAAUAUUGUUUUAGAUUUAUUAAAUUUAAAAUGUAGAAAAACUAAGGAAUCAAUAAAUUUGUUAUUCCUAUUGGAAACUCUGCACUAAAGUUAUUGGUGGAUAAAUCAAUACUGACUAUGAGAGAAAUAGACUUGAUAUAUUCUAGAUCUUGGUCUUUCACUUUCAAGAUCAAACUAUAUUCAUAGGAUCGGGCCUUAUCAGGUGUUGGGUAUAGAUAGCGGCUUAUAUUUUGCUUUUAAGUCAUUGGAUCACCCAAAGUGCAUGGACUACUACCACUCAAAUUGUUUUCAACAAGGUAUGAGAUAUGCAAUGAACUUAAAUUUGACAACUCAAAAUGAAGUCCUCCAAAAAAUGCAUUUGAACUCAACUUAAGAAUUCAAACCAAUGUGAAAACAGCUCCAAUCCAUACUGGAAUAUCACCUGAAAGCUUGUUCUUGUUUAAGUGAAGUGAUUGAAGCCAUUCUAACCGACCAAAAGAUUUUGGAAUAGUCCCCAAUAAAUUGUUCUUUCCAAGGAUUAGAAAGUAUAGGUCCGUGCAAUUAUUUAUAGAUGAAGGAAUGCUUCAUGUUAGACUAUUCCUUGAAAAAUCAAGGAUUUGAAGAUGUCGUAUAUGUCCUAUAGACUUUGGGAUGAUUCCUAUCAUUUGAUUGCCUGAAAGAGAAAAUACAAACAAAUUUGGGAUGGAUUCACCUAUUUUGGCUAGGAUAGAACCAGAAAAUUUAUUGUUGGAUGGAUCAAGUGAGUAGCACUGAUGAGGAUGAGUUUUCAAGAUAUAUAUCAAGAAAGGGAAUUAGUAUUAGUUUUAAUUAAAGUAGGAUUAAUAUUACUUGGAAUUAAAUUAGGAUUAAUAUUUGCUGGAAUCAAAUUAGGAUUAGCUAGUUGAGUUAUAAUAUAAUUAGAAUUUGAGUCAUGAUAGGUUAUUAGAGUCUUAGUAGACUUUGGAUGUUAUAAUUAGAAUUAGAAUCAUAAUAGGUUUUUAGAGUCCUAGUAGACUUUGGAUUUCUUAGAGAAGCCUAUAAAUAGGCUAAUCAAUGUAAAUCAAAGGAAUAAAUUGAUGAAUAAUAUUAUACUUUCUUUCAUUGCAAGGUUGCAACCCUCAAUGGUGAGACUCCAUUGAUUUUCUUUUAGGUGAGACUCCUAGAAGGCCUUAGCGAGACUCUAAGGUUUUCCAUCUUUUCUUCAUUGUUUCUUCUUUCUCUCUAUUUCUUAUCUUAUAAUUUUCUCUACCAUAAAAUUUAUUCCUUAUUCCUCUCCUUACACCCUAAAAAUAAAACCCUAACCCACCUACCCUUAGGUGUAGGCAACCAUCCUAGGGUUAUCCUACAUCAAGCACCCAUGGUGUGGUAGAGGAAUUGGACCUUCAAACAGGUUGGAGCUGAAAUCAAUAGAUGCCCAAGGGGCCAUAUUUAACUGAUUUGGUAAUUGACCAUAUAACUGAUUCAAAGGAAGAUUUAAAAACAAUAGUUGAGAAUAAAUAUUCCUAAAACCAAUUGGGUAUCAUCCUUGUUGUAGAAUUAGGAUCUUUUAAGACUAUAUUAACAGUCUCAUAUGCAAUAACCUGAAUGAUUCAAUUUGGGUGGUUUUUCAUGGGCUUCAAAACAAAGAAAGUGGGUCUAAAUUGAUGAACAGAUAUUACCCCAAAAUGAGUUUUAAGCUUUUAGCAGAUGAUAAUGCUAGUUACUUUUAACCUAGAAAGUGACCAAGAACUUUCGGGGUUUUUUUUUCCUCUUUUCAUCACAAUUGUGAAACAUCAAAUUUGUCAUUGUUUUCCUACAAUUUAGAUUAUGGGGGUGGGGAGAUGUAUGCUCCUUUGCCCACGUUAGCAUUGGAGUGAACUAUGAAUUUCAGUUCUUGGAACCUGUCUGGAUAUGUUUCUAGAUGCUAGAAGGUUGGGGUGGGGGAAGAUAGCGGCAAGACCUGGUGUAAUUCCUUAUGGGUAAUUUGGGGAAAAAUGAUAGUAGUAACUAUUUUGCCUAUUUAAUUUUUCAAUCUAAUAUGCCUAAAGAAUUUGCAUAUCAAGUUUAAAAGUUGGCUUAAAUACCCAAGUCAACCUACUAUCGAUUGUGCGAGGAAAAAAGAAGAUGGGCAACAGGUAAGCUGUUGGAUUAAUUGGUAACCAACAUUUGCUAAUUAAGGUCGGAAUUUCUAUCUUAUAUUGGUGAGGUAGAUGACUUUUUUCUUAGUUUAUGGGGCCAAUGGAAGCAACCUACAACUAAGGAAAAUGGUUUCUCUCUACUCCCAGCUUACUAAGUUAAUUUGCUAAUGCAAAAAAGGCUUUCCCUUUCUACCAACAAGUUAGAAGGGUACUUCUUUCACUUAUUGUGCUUCUUGUUUCCAUGUUUUAUCUAUAAGGUGAACAUGAGGUGUCAAUCCCUUCCAAUUUUGUUUUCAUGUAUUAAUAUAGUUGAAGAAUCUAAUUACAGACUGAAAGAAUAUAGUUGGAACCUUGGAGGAGUGGUAGAUGAAGGGAUGGCCAUGCUAGGAGGAAUGAUAGUUGAAACAUCAACUCCAACUAGCUGAUCUGAGUGCAUCAGAAAUGGGAAUGAUAAGGCGGCCUCUCCUCUUUUUGGAAUGGAUACCGGCUCUAAAGACAUGAUCUUAGAAUAGGAAACCUUGUGUGUUUCCUAUAAACCAACUCAGCCUAAUCCACCUACCUAGGUUUCGUCUCCUAGGGCAACAAGCAUAUCCUAAAUGGUCUCAAAAGGCAAUAGAGUCCUGUGGUGCAUUAGUAUGAAAGUAUAGUUGAUUAUCUCGUUUCUUCUUAUGCACUAAACUCUGGAAAAACUGGCAGAUCACUUUCUAGUAAAAAGGAAGCUUUUUCUCCAGGAAUCUGUUGUUCAAUUUUCAAUUUUACAAUACUUCUCAUCUGACUCUCAUUGUAGAAUUAAGGUUUUUUUUAAGACUGCAUUAACAGUCCCUUAUGUAGAAACCUAAAUUAUUUAAUUUGGGUUUGUCUAGGGCAGAUUUUUAUGGAGUUCAAAACCAAGAAAGUGGCUCCAAAUUGAUAACCAAACAUUGCCGAAAAAUGUGUUUUUAACAUAUGAGACUGGUAGUUACUUCAAGUUACUGCUAACCUAGAAAGUGACAAAGAAUGCUACUUUUGGAUUUUAAGGAAAUUUUUUCUUUUAUUUAUUUACUUUUUUUUUUUUGUGCAGGUGCCACAUUUUCUCUUUUGGUUGGAAUUGUGAAGUAUCAAAUUCAUCGAUGUUUCCUACGAUUUAGAUUUUGGGGGUUGGGAGAGGUAUGUUCUUUUGCCCCACUUUGCAUUAAAGUGAGCAAUGAAUUCUAAUUCUUGGGGGCAUGGGUUGUGCAAGGUGGAUGCCCACACCACUUGGCGGGUGCAAAUGGAAGUCCUCUAAUGUGUUUGAUAAAGUGUUUCACCAAAAGAUUUUCUUGCUGAAGAAGGGAAAAUCCCAUUUUACUUUUGUUGUUAAUCAUGUCAAUAUGCCUUGUUUGUCAAUUACCUUGUUGCUUAAACUUUUUAUUUAUAUUUAUAGUUUAAAAUGGUGCAGAAUCCUUUGCUUCUGAGAGGUCUUAGGUUUGAACCUCACCGCUUAUGUAUUCCCUUUGUAUUGAAUCCAUGUAUGAAAGAAUGCCAUGGAGGCUAGUGUUGAGGCAAUUAUCUGUACUAUUAACCAGCUUCAUUUAAUAUACAUUGUUGAUCUAUUAUCUAAUCGCAUAAGUUGUUGGAUUAAGUGGCAAUCAACAUUUACUAAGGUUGGAAUUCCCAUAUUAUCUUGGUGAGAUAGAUCAUGACUUCUACCCUCAAUUUAUGGGGCCGAGGGAAACACCCUACAACUAUGGUAAAUGAUUUCCCCAUUCCCGAAGUUCUAAGUUAAUUUGCUAAUGCUAACGUAGAAAGGCUUCCCCUUCUACCAACAAGGUUAAGAGAGUGCUUCCUUCACUUACCUUGCUUAUUGUUUCCAUGUUUGAACUAUAAAGUUAACAUGGGGUGCUAAUCUCUUCCAAUUUUGUUUCCAUGUAUUAAUAUAGUUGAAUAUAGUUGGAGGAAUGGUAUAUACUCUAGUGGAAGGUGUCUCAAACUCAAUUCCCAUGGAUGGAGUAAGAUUCAGAGACACAACAAAUGGAAUUGGCAAUAAAACAGGUUGUGAAUUUGCUUGAGAAAUAACCAACCUCAUAGCAAAUGAAGGAACAAUUGUGCUAGGAGGAAAUGAGGUUUUGUCUUAGACGUAGUUCUCUACAGGUUGAUGACUUCUUCAGUCCAAUAACGUGUGAUUUUCUCACUUCUGAAACUUCAGUUUUGGUUUUGAUCCAUUUUAGAGAGGAUAUGUGACACAAUCCAAAAUGGGGUUACAUUGUCUCUUGUUUUUCGCUGAUGUUAUCAUUUGUUGCCUUCAUGUGCUAGGAUGACGUUUGUUAAUGAAAAUUUCUAUGACCAAGUUGAAUUUGAUACUUGGGUGGAGCUGGUUUGUUUAAAUAUUCAUGUUUUGGUGAAUAAAAGUUAUUUUAAUUGAGCAAAACUAAUACAUAUAAUGUAGAAGAUGGAUAAAAUUUAAGUUAAAUAUUUAACAAAAAAAAUAUGAUUUUAGGACUUUUCAAUUUAAUAAAAGUUUUGUUGUAGUUAUGGGUUAUGUAUUCAAUUUUGGGUAGAAGGAAAAGACUAACCAAGCAAGUGCUACAUAUAAUCUAAAGCAUUCCCAAACCCUGGAAGCUUAAGGGAUGGAUCAUAUUAAUAGUGUGUGAUAGUGAUUCUUGAAAGUGUUUUUAACGUUUAUAGUACUUGAAAAAUGAAAUCUUAAAGUGUUAGAAAUGUUAAAAACACUUCCUAGAAUAACUAUCAAAUGCACUCUAAAUAAGUUAGCUUAAGAGUGAUGCAAAAAAUGGGUAUGUUGUAUAAGAACACAUAUUUUCUUUUUGUCUUUCACCCUUCAAAAAGUUAUGAUCUACUUGUUUGCUUGGAAAAAAAAAUACUUUUUUUCCCCAAUUAUAAAUAUUAGCCAUUUUUCAUCAAAAGUAACUAGAAUUAUAUAGACCCCAAAAGGGCAAAAAAGGUCAUAGAUUUAGGUUAAUAAAGAAAUAUAGUUGGGACAAACAAUUAAAACAUCUUACAUUGGAUGAUCAUCAUAUCCUACUCAAAUUUUAUAAGGUAGUGGAAACAUAACUAAUAAUUAUAUUUUUCAAAGAGAAUCUAAAAAUUUGAAAUUGGAAAUUUAUUCUAUUCAUUUUUAAUAUUUUUUGGGGUCUACUAUAAAUUUUAUCCACAAAGGGAAAACAUACACUAUUUAUCUUAAUAAAGGCCCCUUUUAUAUCAAGAAAUUUCUCUUUGAAUGAAUUAAAAGAGAAACCUUGUCUUUUAUUACAACUAUAAUGAAAUUCACUUCCAAAGCCUAUAAUUAUACAUAGAGCAUAUAACGAUCUACAAACAAAAUUUAUCACCUUCGCGGGUGAGCUUUGGCACAGGUUGCUCUUCCUCUCAACAACCAUUUGACAAUUUUAUCCACAAAAUCAAAGUAGGCCUCACACCAAGAUUUUCUUGUUGCCAAAACAAAAUAUGGAAUUAAAAUACCCAUUGAAAAUCCCAAGCCAACACUCAAGUAAAACCAUUGAUCAAUGUAGCCACCAUCAUUUUUGUCCUCAAUAGCACUACGCUUUUUAUCUAGAUCUUCAUCUUGGCAUUUUGUGACUAGUGGAGCUCCACAAAGAUUAGGGUUUCCAACAAAGCCUGACUCAGUGAAGGUUGUCAUUUGCCCUAUAAAGGGGAUCUUACCAGAGAAAUUGUUAUUUGAUAGAUUCAAAUAACUUAAGAAUGUCAAUGAAACCAUACUUGAAGGAAGGGUGCCAGAAAGCUUAUUAUUUGACAAAUCAAGAGAUAACAACUGCUUCAACAUUGAAAUGCUUUCAGGAAUUUGGCCAAUGAUGUGAUUCCUCGAUAAGUUCAAAACUAGCAAACCAAACAAUUUUGUUAUUUCUUGGGGAAACUCUCCACUUAAAUUAUUGUCGGAUAGGUCUAUGCUUACAACAAGAAAAAGAGUUCUGGUGUACUCAAGACUUUGGCCUUUCAUAUUCACAACCAAUCGUUCUUCAUACCAAGAGUUGCUCCCAUUGCCAUGCAAAGGAUAUAUAUUCUUAUUAUUCUCUUGAGCCAUGGCUUUAAGCUCAACAAAAGUGAUUGGAAUUUCACCCAUUAGAUUGUUUUGUGCAAGGUCUAAGACACGCAGGGAGCUUAAAUUUGAAAGCUGUGGGGGAAGUCUUCCAAAAAAUACAUUUGACCUCAAGUUGAGUAUUACAAGAUUUAUGAAAGUAGUUCCAAUCCAUGAAGGAACCUUACCCAAUAGUUGGUUAUAACUGAGAUCAAGGAGUUCCAAUCUUGAUAAAUUUUGGAAAGAUGAGGGGAGCCCUCCUGAAAGCUUGUUAUCAUUCAGGUGUAGUGAUUCGAGCCAUUGUAACUGGCCCAAUGACUUUGGUAUCGUCCCAGAUAAAUGGUUAUUUCCAAGGUCUAGAACAAUUAGGCUAGAGCAAUUAUUUAUGGUAUAAGGAAUGCUUCCAGUCAAAUUAUUCCUUGAAAAAUCAAUGACUUGAAGAGAGGUGAUGUGUCCUAUGGAAUCUGGGAUGGUCCCUGUUAGUUGAUUUUUUGAAAGGAAAAGGUAAUUCAAGUCUAACAUAGAUUCACCUAUGCUCAAUGGGAUAGGGCCAGAAAAUUUAUUGUAGGAGAAAUCUAGUAAAUAGACUCCUUUGGUGGAAAAUUUUAAUGAAUUUGGUAGCUGACCUUGUAACUGAUUGUGAGAAAGUUUUAAGUAUGACAGGUUAAAAGAAAUAUUCCAAAACCACUUGGGUAUGAAACCUGAGAUGCUAGCAUUUGACAAAUCCAAAAAAAAGACCUCCUUUUGAGUCUUAAACCAAUUUGGGAAUGAAGGGCCUAAAUUGCAUGAAGCCAUACUCAGAUUAGUGACUUGGAAUGGGGGGACCCAAGUGGAACUAACAUUUAAAACAAGACCUGAAUUUCCAUUUAUCCACAACUCCUUCAACUUACUUAACUUUGAAAAAUGUUCUUCAGAAAUAAUUCCAGUCAUGCGAUUCAAAGAAACAUCCAAUUUAACCAAUUCAGAAAGUUGUCCAAAACUAACCGGGAGACUCCCAUUCAGUUCAUUCGAUCCAAGCCACAUCUCUCUCAGUUUUUUGAAUGUCCCAAAAGAAGCAGGAAUAGGGCCUUGAAGCUUGUUGCCAGAUAAAUCGAGAAAUGUAAGUUUUUCCAAAUGACUCAACCAUUCGGGAAUUGUACCUGCAAUCAUCAUCAAGAGUAUUAAAAUAGUUUCAUUUAUUUAUAUAUUUAUUUUAUGAAAAAUAAUAAAUUUUAGGAGAAAGGAAUUUUCAGAAAAAAAAGGUAUAAUAAAUCGAAUGAGUGGAGAAAAGAUAAUUUAAAAUAUUUUUUUAAAACUAAGUGUUUACAUGGAAUCAAUAUAUACAUGAUUACCAAAAGAAAAUUUUAAUUUAUUUGGUAGCUAACCUUGUAACUGAUUGUUAGAAAGACUUAACAACCACAUAUUCAAAGAAGUAUUCCAAAACCAAUUUGGUAUGGAACCUAAGAUGCUAGCAUUUGACAAAUCCAAAAAGAAGACCUCCUUUUGAGACCUAAGCCAAGUCGGGAAUGAAUGGCCUAAAUUGCAUGAAUCCAUACUCAGAUUAGUGACUUGGAAUGGGGGCACCCAAGUGGAACUAACAUUCAAAACGAGACCUGAAUUUCCACCCAUCCACAACUUCUGUAACUUACUUAACUUCGAAAAAUGUUCUUCAGAAAGAAUUCCAAUCAAGUGAUUCCUAGAAACAUCCAAGACAACCAAUUCAGAAAGUUGUCCAAAACUAAUUGGGAGACUCCCAUUUAGUUCAUUCGAUCCAAGCCACAUCACAUUUAGAUUUUUGAAUGUCCCAAAAGAAGCAGGGAUAGGGCCUUGAAGCUUGUUGCAAGAUAGAUCGAGAUGUGUAAGUUUUUCCAGCUGACUCAAUGAUUCAGGAAUUGUACCUGCAAUCAUCAUCAAAAGUAUUAAAAUAAUUUUGUCUAUCUAUUUAUUUUAUGAAAAAUAAGAAAUUCAAGAGAAAGGAAUUUUCAAAAAAGGUAUAAUAAAUCAAAUGAGUGGAUAAAAGACAAUUUAAAAUAGUUUUUAAAAACAAGUGUUUACAUGGAAUCAAUGUAUACACGAUUACUAGAAGAAAAUUUUAAUGAAUUUGGUAGCUGACCUUGUAAUUGAUUCUGAGAAAGACUUAAGUCCAGCAGAUUCAAAGAAAUAUUCCAAAACCACUUGGGUAUGAAACCUGAGAUGCUAGCAUUUGACAAAUCCAGAAGGGAGACCUCCUUUUGAGACCAAAGCCAAGUUGGGAAUAAAGGGCCUAAAUUGCAUGAAGCCAUACUUAGUUUAGUGAUUUGGAAUGGGGGGACCCAAGUGGAACUAACAUUCAAAACGAGACCUGAAUUUCCAUUUAUCCACAACUCCUUCAACUUACUUAACUUUGAAAAAUGUUCUUCAGAAAGAAUUCCAAUCAUGCGAUUCCUAGAAACAUCCAAGAGAACCAAUUCAGAAAGUUGUCCAAAACUAAUUGGGAGACUCCCAUUCAGUUCAUUUGAUCCAAGCCACAUCUCUCUCAGAUUUUUGAAUGUCCCAAAAGAAGUAGGAAUAAGGCCUUGAAGCUUGUUGCAAGAUAGAUCGAGAUGUGCAAGUUUUUCUAACUGACUCAACGAUUCAGGGAUUGUACCUGCAAUCAUCAUCAAGAGUACUAAAAUAAUUUCAUUUAUUUAUUUAUUUAUUUUAUGAAAAAUAAGAAAUUUCAGGAGAAAGGAAUUUUUAGAAAAGGUAUAAUAAAUCAAAUGAGUGGAGAAAAUAUAAUUUAAAAUAGUUUUUAAAAACAAGUGUUUACAUGGAAUCAAUAUAUACACGACUACCAUAAGAAAAUUUUAAUGAAUUUGGUAGCUGACCUUGUAAUUGAUUCUGAGAAAGGCUUAAGUCCUGCAGAUUAAAAGAAAUAUUCCAAAACCACUUGGGUAUGGAACCUGAGAUGCUAGCAUUUGACAAAUCCAGGAGGGAGACCUCCUUUUGAGACAUAAGCCAAGUCGGGAAUGAAGGGCCUAAAUUGCAUGAAGCCAUACUCAGUUUAGUGAUUUGAAAUGGGGGGACCCAAGUGGAACUAACAUUCAGAACGAGACCUGAAUUUCCAUUUAUCCACAGCUCCUUCAACUUACUAACUUUGAAAAAUGUUCUUCAGAAAGAAUUCCAGUCAUGUGAUUCCUAGAAACAUCCAAGAGAACCAAUUCAGAAAGUUGUCCAAAACUAACUGGGAGACUCCCAUUCAGUUCAUUCGAUCCAAGCCACAUCUCUCUCAGAUUUUUGAAUGUCCCAAAAGAAUUAGGAAUAGGGCCUUGAAGCUUGUUACCGGAUAGAUCGAGAUAUGCAAGUUUUUCCAAUUGACUCAAUGAUUCAGGAAUUGUACCUGCAAUCAUCAUCAAGAGUACUAAAAUAAUUUCAUUUAUUUAUUAAUUAUUUUAUGAAAAAUAAGAAAUUUCAGGAGAAAGGAAUUUUCAGAAAAGGUAUAAUAAAUCAAAUGAGUGGAGAAAAGAUAAUUUAAAAUAGUUUCUAAAAACAAGUGUUUACAUGGAACCAAUAUAUACACGACUACCAUAAGAAAAUUUUAAUGAAUUUGGUAGCUAACCUUGUAAAGAAAUAUUCCAAAACCACUUGGGUAUGGAACCUGAGAUGCUAGCAUUUGACAAAUCCAAGAGGGAGACCUCCUUUUGAGACAUAAGCCAAGUCGGGAAUGAAGGGCCUAAAUUGCAUGAAGCCAUACUCAGUUUAGUGAUUUGAAAUGGGGGGACCCAAGUGGAACUAACAUUCAGAACGAGACCUGAAUUUCCAUUUAUCCACAACUCCUUCAACUUACUUAACUUUGAAAAAUGUUCUUCAGAAAGAAUUCCAGUCAUGCGAUUCCUAGAAACAUCCAAGAGAACCAAUUCAGAAAGUUGUCCAAAACUAAUUGGGAGACUCCCAUUUAGUUCAUUCGAUCCAAGCCACAUUUCUCUCAGAUUUUUUAAUGUCCCAAAAGAAGCAGGGAUAGGGCCUUGAAGCUUGUUGCCGGAUAGAUCGAGAUAUGUAAGUUUUUCCAAUUGACUCAACGAUUCGGGAAUUGUACCUGCAAUCAUCAUUAAGAGUAUUAAAAUAAUUUUAUUUAUUUAUUUUAUGAAAAAUAAGAAAUUUCACGAUAAAAGAAUUUUCAAAAAAUGUAUAACAAAUCAAAUGAGUGGAGAAAAGUUAAUUUAAAAUAUUUUUAGAAACAAAUGUCUACAUAGAAUAAAUUGAGAAUAUUGUUUUUAGAAAUUAAAGUUUCCAAACAAAAUUUUGCUACAAAAAUAUAAUAUAAUAUUUGUAAAAAUUAUUAUAAAAAACUCAAAUUUGAUUUCUAAAAAAUAUUUUUACAAUGUUUACAAGAAACAAAAUACAUUAUAACAUUUGUAAAACUAUUAUAAAAAGCUCAAAAAAUUAUUUUAGAAAUCUAUUUUAAAAAUUGUUUACAACCAAAAUCUAGAUCUUGUAGUGUAAUCUUUCAAAUCCAUCAAAAGUCGAGGAGGAGAAGAUGAGCCAAAAAGCCCUAAAAAUUCCCCUUUGUUGGUCAAUUGCACAAUGAAUUUGUGAUAAAUCAUACAUCAACAAGAGUUAAAAUAAUUUAAUUUAAAAUAAUUUUCAAAAAAACAAAGAGAAAGUUUAUGAGAAAUAUAAUUUCAAGACAAGGUAAGAAACUUUACUUUCUUAUUGCAUUAGUGAAAUGGAUACAAUGAAUGGUGAAAAGAUAAUUUUACUUGCUUUGAUGGUUUAAUGAUAAAAGUAAGAGAUUAUUGGAAAGUCAUAAUAAUUUAAUGUGAAAUAUUUUUUAAGAACAAGGGUUGCAAUGCAAAACCUCUACAAUAUUUUGAUUUAUCAAAAAAAAAUAAGUGAUAACAAUUUUUCUAAGCUAAUAACGUACUAAGAAAGUUAUUGUAUGCCAAAUUCAAAAAUUCUAUCUUCUUCCAGCUUUUGCUUAACAUUUGAGAGCAACUACCUGUGAGAUUUUUGUUCCAAGAUAGAUCCAAGUGCUGCAAGUUAGGUAGUUCCCCAAGGCUAGGUGAAAUAUGCUCAUAUAACUGAUUAGAACUUACAUCAAUGUAUACAAGGCUGGUAAGGUUUAGGAGCCAUAUUGGGAACUUUGACCGGAAAGAGUUGCCACUAAUGCUUAUGAGAGACAGUGAAGUAAAAUUGAUAGAGCUUAGAGAUGAAAUUGAACCAGAGAGCCCACAAUCUUGUAGGUGCAACUCCGUUAAAAAUGGAAGCUUGUUUAAUACCUCCAUCCAAUGAGAUCCAUUGAAAGGUUGACAUAGUUCAUCUUGAGAUGCUUUAAGGAAACAAGACUAGUCAUCCAUUCAAGGUCCUUAACAAAUAAGAACUUCUGAAAUUCAUUGGAAGAAAGAUCAAGAACUUGCAAAUUAGAAAGGUUUCCCAAUGUUGGAGGAAUUGCACCACUGAAUCCACCAUUUGAUAAGUUUAGAUACCAUAAAUUCUUCAAAGAUCCAAAGAAUUUAGGGAUUAGUAUAUGCUCAAAUGAGUUACCACUCAAAUCUAAAUAUCUCAAGGAUUUGAUUUCUAUCAAAGAAGGUCGAAUCUCCCCGCUUAAGUUCAUUGAGCUCCAAUUCUCAUAUGCUUCUUUAGGAGAAUAUGGGUUAUGAAGAUUGAUUGAAAUAACAACUCUUGUGUUGUUUUUGCAACCAAUUCCCUCCCAUUGACAACAAUUGCCUCCUGUCCAUGAUGAAAGUCGGUUGUUAGAAUCUUUAAGACCAUUUUUGAAGUUAUGAAGAGCAUCUCGAUCGGCUCUUAAGCAAUCUUCCUUAAGGGUUUCACCCUUACAAGCUAGAUCUCUUAUU
rnacentral:lncRNA from 1 species